rnacentral:lncRNA from 1 species
CAUAUUUUUUUGUACUUUAAAGAAAAAGUUCUCAAUUUGUCAUCGUCUAAAAUAACGUUGUCAUUUACUUAAAUAACGAAAAACGAUCAAGUCAACAAUUUCAAUUAUCCCUUAAAUGGCCAAAAGCAAACAUGUGCCUAACUAAGGACUCACUCCAAAUGGCACAAACUCACUUCAAUUAAUCCUUAAAAGCCAAAAGAAAUGUGCCUAACCCAAUUAAACUUACCCUUAAAGGCUAAAAAAGAGUGCCCAUCUCAUCCAAGUUAACUCUUAAAUUUAAGAUUUAUUAGAUAUUGGAGAAAUGAGUUUCAAUAUUUAUUAAAAAUAUUGAGAUAAAAAUUUGGACAAUUAAAAAGCAUCUCCAUGAAAAUAAACAAAAUUUAAAGUAUGAAUUCAAGUAAUUUUUGUAAAUAUACAUUUUUUAUACACACUUUAAUAUUUAAAAUUUUAAAAUAUCUAUUUUAAUUCUUUCACAAAUCUUUAUUAAAGAUAAUUUUUUUUAUACCCAAUACUCAUAUCAUAUCUUAGGGAACCCAUUAUAUAACUAUUUAAAAUACACUGCAAAAACAAAAUUUGAAUAGUUGUCAAACAUUCUAAUUUUUCUUUCUUUCACCCUUAGAUCGAAAGUGAUUCCAAACAUGUUCGAAACUUUAUUUUUUAAAUUACAAAGAAUAAAAAAAAAGAAAUUAAUCGUCCAAAUUUUGAAUACAACCAAACAAACGGUCCAAAAAAAAAAGAGAUGCAAUAAACCUCUAGAGAUUUUCUUCUUUUUUUUCAUAUGUUUUUUGUUUUUUCUAAGAAUUAUUGGCUGAGAAGAAAAAAUUGUUCAAAGAGACAGCCUCAGUCUGAAUACAAAAGUAUGUUUUAUUAUUCUCUGCUUCGAAAGUGCUAUAAAAACUUUUCCAUUGCAUGAGUUUUUACUAUUUUUUAAAAUGAAAAUAUAUGUGCAUCGUUUAUUAAUUAAAUAUUAUUGAAAUGCAUUCUAAACAACACUCAUUUUUAACCCUAUUUGAUCAUGAAGUCAUGCAUAGUUAGACGUAUCACAAAUGGAUCUUUUCUUUCUCCUUUUUAAUAUUUUUUACUGCAAUAAUUGUAAGUAAUUACUGUUGAUACGUUAAGUUUAUGUUUGUUCUUUAUUUAUGUGUAACAAUUUUGCAUGCUAACCUCCAGUUAUAUGAGUUUCUAUGUUUGAUUUAGUUAAAAGGUUUACUGUUUAAGUUCAUUUAAACACAUGUUUCAUUCUUAAAUCUAUUUGUUUGUUUUAAAUUGGGCUCUUAAGAUUUUAAAUUAAAGUUAUUGUUUUCAACAUAACUUUUCAUUGUAAAUUAUUUUAAUGAUUUAUUAUUAUUUUCAUUAUAUAAUCAACAACAAUCUAAACUUGUUUUGAAAAUUGAAAAGUUGUCCCAUUUCAUGUGCUCAACUAUUCGUCUUUGUAUAGAAACUUUUCUUUAAUCUUUUUGAAGACAUCAUCAAAUUCAAAUUCAUUAAGCUGCCAAAGAACUCUACUCACGUUACUUAAUUAAACACUCAAAUUUAAAAAAGAAAUGAUAAUCACAAAUUAGUUUAACAAAAACUAUGCUAUCAUAACAACUCAAGCCUCAUCUUGGAAACAUAUAUACAGUUGAUAAUAUGAUAGUCUAACCAAACAAUACUAUCCAUCAAACCUUCAACUUUGAAGAAUGGAAUAAAGACCUUAUCCAUUGAAACCCAUGUCGGUGUUUAAGAGGUGUAAAGGAAGUAAAGAGAUAUGGUGUGUGUUGUGGGCAGUGGGAGUAAAUAACAGAAAACACAGGGGGGGUAUUGUGGAAGAAGUUGGGUAAUAUAGAAAAGUAAUGUUAGAGGUAGAGAGGGAGAGGAAGUUGGUGUACAAGUAAAAUGCACUAAUUAAAACAGGUGAAGAGAGAGAGAGAGAGAGAGAAUAAAAAGAAAAGAAGAGGGGGGAGAGGGAGAGAGAGUGAAAAGACAAGUCAAAUGUCAAAUCUAUGGUCUUUGAUAUCAUAAGACAGUCAGUGGGAUGUGCUGUCAAUCCAAUGGAUUUCAUUUCAUUUCAUUUCCUCCUUCCUUCCUUACUUCCUUCCUUUCUAUCAAAACAAUACUAAAAAAUAAAAAUUCCUUCAGUUUUGGAGAGGGCAAAAUAACAGUCUUCUUUUUUCACUACUACUAAAGUUUCAAUGUUUUCAUCUGUAUUUUCUUCAUGUUUUUGUGGGUUCGGUCUUGAUGUGAAAACUGAAUUCUCAUAUAAAUCUAAAGAUGAAACACCAAAACAAACUAAGCAAUAAUGUGAAUAUAAUACUUUAUUACAAAUAACACAUAGCUAUAAUUCAUAAAUAUGAAUAUUUAUUGGAUUCUACUUAUAGAAUUAUUAUUUGUUUACUAAUUUAAAUAAUUUUAUGAGUUUUUUUUAUUCUAUAGUUCUUUUCUCAACACAUUUGAUAUUUUUAUAAUUAAAAUUUUUAUAUGACAAUUAAUAAUAAGUGAAGUAGGUAAAUAUAUAUAUAUAUUAAGAAAAAGAGUAAAUCCAAACCUUCUGAAAAUAUAUUUAUUGUAUUUAAAAAACAUUUGCACGUGCCAAAGAAGUUCCCACGUGCACAUUUUCCUCUUUCAAAAUGAAAUUAAAAUCCAUAGGACCCAUCCAACACUCUUCUCCAUGUCCUUUUUUUUUUAAAAAAAAAUUAUUAUUAUUAUUAUUUCCCACUUUAUUUUUUCUUUUUUCUUUUUAGUAAAAGAAAAAAGUUUCACCCAUUAUAUUUGAAUCAAUAAGAUAAAGUAAUGUUCUUUUUUCAAAAUUUGGCUUCACUCAAUUUCAAAACUUAUAUAUAACGAUUCUAUUUUUGUAAAUUCGAAGGAAAACAAUAAUACCAACAAACGUAUAUACACUAAUAUUAAUACCUACAUCGUUUAAAUUUUUUUAAAUUAGUUUCUAAAAAAAUAUAUAAAACAAUUUAGACCAUUUAUUUUUCUUCAAAAUCAUUCAAAUAAGAUUAAUCUUCUCCAAAAUAAAGAGAAAAAGACAAACGGGAUGAAAAUUGCUCGUAUUUAAUCAAAAUUAACUUACAUUAGGGUUUUUUUUUUAUAUUAUUAUUAUACUUUGAAGCAUUAAUAAAUAUUAUCUCUAAACUUUAGGAUCUUACAAUUUUUAUGUUAUGUAAAACAUAAUGUGAUCAUUAUAAAUCCAUUAAUAUCACUAUUGAAACAUAUAUUAUCAUUUCAUACUAUCUUUAACAACUAAUUCCUAAUUCCUACAGACUACCGACUUUAGAUUCCAGCUAUAUAGUAGAAUUGGAAAUCACUUUGUAAUAAAUUUUGUUAUUUUCAAUUUUUUUAAAGAUUGAUUAUUUUAAAAAAGAAAAAAAAUGAUGAUUACCAUUUAAUAUUGUUAAUCUAGCUAGAACAAACAAAAACAUAACAUUCAAAAUCAUAGUAUAAAAUUAUAAAUGGUAAAGAAAAUGUAAUUUUUAAUAGUAGGUUUUUUCUUUUUUUAGGAAAACAGUAAGUCUAUUUUAGUUACUAUUUCUCGAAUACAAUAAUUUAGUAUUUCUUUAUCCUAACACUACACCAAUUAUUAAGCCUAAGGUUGGAUGUUAUCAAAUUAUACUAAUUUGUUUCCUACAUUAGAAUGAAUUUUUUAAAGCUGUAUUUUCAACUAAAAGUUGCAAAUAUUUAAAAAGUAAUUUUUUUUUAAAAAAAAAAACUCAUGAUUGAAAUCAUCAUAUCUUACAGAUUUUAGUCCCAGCCAUUAGUUAUAUUUGCUGCCAUCAUUUAGCAGUAAUUUUUUUUUAAGAAAAAAGAAGUUUGUAGUAUAAGCCAUAUUGAGGUUAAGACAUUUCCAUCAAAGCAAGUCAACCCACUAAUUAUUUCAAUAAUACCCUGAAUAUAUAAUUGGAGAUCAUAGGUUUACAUCAUCACCCAUUUGAAAAUGUUAAAGAGUAAAUAUUUUAUUUCAUUAUGGGGAUUUAUUAAUGAAGAAGGUUAGGGACUGAAAUACAAAGUUACAUAUAGCAGUCUAAACUAAAGAAAAAAGGCAAAGGGGGAAAAGUAUUAAGCCAUAAAAGAAACACUUUAAAAGCAAAAGUAUAGCUAGCCAGAGAAUGGACGACAAAAUUACAAAUUGUGGAAGGGAGGAAUGAGAUAACGAAAAGGAAAGAAAGCAUGUCUAGAGAUGCUCCACCCUUGUUUAGCCAAAACACUGAUUUUGAGAUUUUGUACGACUCUAAUAGGGUUUAGUGUUAAUGAAGAAGAGAUGGUGACAUACAAAUUGUCCACGUAUAUUCAAAAACUUAAGUUGGUAGGUGGAGACGAAUUUGAUUAUAUAUAUAUAUGUGCUCAAUUAUGAAUGAUGAUUCAACUUGUUCUAUAGAAAACAUGUACAGAAUGGUUGAAAAAUGGUAAGAAAUAUAACAUGAUUUUACUUUUUAAAUAGGAUUGACAUCUCUGUUAUAUUUAAUAAGAAAAAAGGAGGAUUCAUUUAAAAACAAAAAACAAAUUGUUUGUUUAUUAAUUAAAUCCGCAAUAUAAUAGGGAUGUACAGCCGCCCAAAAGAGCCAUCCAUUUUCCAAUUCUCUCAUUCUCUCCAAAAACAAAACACAACCACACAAACAACUUCUCUCAAAGAUUCCAACCUUCCCCCUCUCCAGAAAAAGAUAAAAAAGAAAAACCAGAUGAAAUUCAAAACCCUUUUUCUUCUUGAUCUUAACAAGAAGAGAAACUAACGAAUUUCCAGUAGCGCCCGCGCCACUGUCGCGAUGAGCCAUCUCGAAGACUCUCUAAGAUCCCUUUCUUUAGACUAUCUUAAUCUUCUAAUCAACGGUCAAGCCUUUAGCGACGUGACGUUCAGCGUCGAGGGGCGUCUUGUCCACGCGCACCGAUGCAUCUUGGCGGCUAGGAGUUUGUUUUUCAGAAAAUUCUUUUGUGGGACGACGACGGAGGCGGGUGCGUCAUCCGGGUUGAGCCCGGUUGGAUCGCCGUCUCCGUCGACAGGGAGUAGUAGUACACAAGUGAUUCCAGUAAAUUCGGUGGGGUAUGAAGUGUUUUUGUUGUUGUUGCAAUUUUUGUAUAGUGGACAAGUUUCUAUUGUGCCACAGAAACAAGAACCAAGGCCUAAUUGUGGUGAUAGAGCUUGUUGGCAUACACAUUGUACCUCCGCCGUUGAUCUUGCCCUUCAUACUCUCUCCGCCGCUAGAUCCUUUGGCGUUGAACAGCUCGCAUUACUUACUCAGGUCAGCUCUCUCUCUCUCUCUCUCUCUUUUGGGUUUUUGAUUUCUUAUUAUCCCAUGUGGGUAUUUGAAUUUUUUUUAUGUUGAUGAACUUGUGGAAUUUUUUGAAACUUUUUACCUGAAAAACUAUGUUGAUGAAUUUGUGGAGUUUUUUCUAGGUCUCUUUUAAGUAAUAUGUAUAAUUUCUUUGUUUAAGAAAACACUUUCUAAAUUGAGUUUUUUUUUAAGAGGGUCUAUAUAUUAUGGAUUCAUUUAUACUCAUAUUUUUUGAAAAUUCACUUUCCUCAUUUGGGUUUUUGUUGGAAAUGAAAAUUUUUGAUUAGAAGCUACUCAAUCUAAUUUUUUUAAUGAAUUAAGAUUUUUUUUAUAAUAGGAAAGGGGAAAUAUUAUUCUUUUUAUUAUAGCAUUAUGUGUUUUUAUUUUGGUGUUUGGAUUUUUUUCUCUAUUAUUUGAUUUACUUUUUUGUUUAUUUAUGCAGAAGCAAUUGGCAAGUAUGGUGGAGAAAGCUUCCAUUGAAGAUGUAAUGAAGGUUUUAUUAGCUUCAAGAAAACAAGACAUGCAUCAACUUUGGUCCACUUGUUCUCAUCUUGUAGCUAAAUCCGGUCUCCCACCCGAGGUACUUGCCAAACACCUUCCGAUCGAUAUCGUAGCGAAGAUAGAAGAACUUCGCAUAAAGUCUUCUUUAGCGCGUCGUUCUCUAAUGCCUCAUCACCACCACCACCACCAUCACGAUCUUUCGGUUGCUGCCGACCUCGAAGACCAAAAGAUUCGUCGUAUGAGGAGGGCUUUAGACUCCUCCGACGUUGAGCUUGUUAAACUGAUGGUGAUGGGUGAAGGUUUGAAUCUUGAUGAAGCUUUAGCCUUACAUUAUGCUGUUGAGAAUUGUAGCCGUGAAGUUGUUAAGGCUUUGCUUGAGCUCGGUGCCGCUGAUGUUAACUACCCUGCUGGCCCGGCGGGGAAAACCCCACUUCACAUGGCGGCGGAAAUGGUUUCGCCCGACAUGGUUGCUGUGCUACUUGACCACCAUGCUGACCCAAAUGUCCGAACCGUCGAUGGUGUCACACCAUUGGAUAUCUUAAGAACCCUAACUUCAGAUUUUCUCUUCAAAGGUGCGGUCCCGGGAUUAACCCACAUCGAACCAAACAAGCUCAGGCUCUGCCUCGAGCUUGUCCAAUCCGCUGCAUUGGUUCUCUCUCGCGAAGAAGAAAAUGCCAACGCCAACGCCAACGUCAACGUUUCAUCAUCUCCAAUUUACCCACCGAUGAGUGAGGAUCAUAGCAGUAGUAGCAGCAACAACAACAAUAUUGGUAAUCUCAAUCUCGAUUCGAGAUUGGUUUACCUAAAUCUCGGGGCAUCGGGACGAAUGGGAGGUUCUAGAGUGGACGGAGAAGAUGACAACAGACAUGGAUCACAAGGAGGAGGAGGAUGUAUCCCAACAAUGUACCACCAUUCCCAUGACUUUCGAUGAAAAUUAAGCAUAACAUCAAAAUCUCUUAUUAUAUAAAAAUUUCACAAAACAUCAUCAUCUAAAUUAGAAUUCAAAAGGGGGUUAAAAAUGUUGAUUGAAAAAGGUAACCAAGAUCAUCAGCUAGGCUUUCUUGGGAAUCAAAUUAUCAUUGGAUCAAUUAUAUGUUUACAAUAUGUCAGCUUUGUUUAUUUUUUUAAAAUUUAUCUUCAAUUAAUUCAGUUUUUUUACCUCUCUUUUUCUCUAUAUGCCUUGUAUGUUUUUUUCUUUUUUUCUUUUGUAGGGAUCUUGAGUUGAAGUGAUGAAGGUAUGAAGUAAGAGAAGUACUCAAAAAUUGUGAGAAAUCAAAUGAGAUGAGACAAGAGAAAGAAUCUGACAUUAAAUUUCCCUUUAAAAAAUUUCUUUCUGCUUCUUCUGAUUGGAACACAGUCUCUCAGGUCAAUCUUUUCAAACCCUUUUGGUCUUUUUUUUCAUAUACUUCUAAUUCCUAUUAAUUAAUAUAUCUUUUCUACCCUAAAUUCUAUAUAUAUAUACACAAUAAUACGAUAAUAUAAUAUUCAUUUCAAACUUAUCAUAAUGAAAAACUUUUGUGGGUUCUAAUAAUAAUAACAAUAAAUUAAAACUAUAGUCUAAUUAGUUUAUAUCAUUUUGGGCCCUUUGUUAUUUCAUUUUCCCACUUCUUAAUAUUAUUGUGUCCCCCACCUGCCCUCCAUAAUGCAAAUUAGUGAAUGCAAUAACUUUUGGUUUUAUAUGCAAUGGGAUCUCUCUAUUAUAUCCUAACUUCUUCUUCUCAUGUAUCUCAUUAAUAUUUCUAGAAAGAAAUGUAUUUAAUCGUACUUAUUUUUGUACAUAUCAUUUAGACUAUUUGUCACGUAACAAAUUUUUUUUAUAUUUAUAAUUAAAGUAGGAAGAUGUUCCUCUUAUAACUUUUUUUUUAAUCUUAGAUUCAUGAACUGAGAUUAGGAAAGGAAGCUUAGAAGAAGAGAAGAGAAAUGGGAAUGGGGAAAGAAUAAUAUUUCUCCCAAUAUAAACUUUUUACUACUGCCCAUUCCAAGCUAUAUAUUGGUUGAUAUAUCAAAUUUAUCAUGGGUAGCUUUAUUUUUUUCAAUUGAAGGAUUAUUAUAUUUUAAUUUACUUUGGUGUAUAGUUUGAUUUUAGUUUAUUUAGAUUAUUGAUAGACAAGUAUAUCUAAUAUCAAUUAAUUAUUGAUUGAUUAGUAUAUAAUUGAUUCCAACUAGACAUACAAAAAAAUUAGGAAGUUCAUAUUUCAAUUCAAUUAGGUUUAGUUUUACAUUAUUUGAUCAAAUAUUUUCUUUCUAGAAAAACAUUACAUUAUAAAAUUAAAAAUGUCACUUCUUGUCAAAAUUUUGGCACAUAUGUCUAGAUAAGAUAGGGGAUAUUGACUAAAAGGUUUUUGCUUUUCAAACUUUUUGAGAGAUGGAUUUAUUUGAUUUUUGGUUAGUUGAUCAUAUUGAUUAAUUAAACAUCAUCUAUAUAUUGGGUUAUGGAAAAACUCAAUUUGGGUAUGACCUUGACUAAUAAAAAAAUUAAUUUUGUGGUGAAAAGAGAAGAGAAGUUGUGGCUGUCAUGCAUGAGUGCAACAUUGAAUGUGGCCCAAAACAUUGAUUGAAGUUAUUAAAUAUAUCUAAAGAUGGAUUCUCUUCUUCCUCUAAAUACUCUAUUCUGUCCCCUUUUCUUUUCUUUUUUUUUUCUCUUUCCUUAUUUGGGAUUGGUUUGAAUUUCAAAACCCUAACCUACCUCUUUGUUUCUCUUUUUAUUAUUACAUGUUAUGUUAAGGUUUUGUUUGGUUGUUGUUUUAAUUAAUGUAUUGUGUGUGUUCUUUAAGAAUUUAUUGACCCCAAAAAUUACACCAUAUAAUUUGCUGCCAACCCAUGUAAGUUUUUCUACCCUCUUUAGUCCUUUGUAAAUACCAAAAGUACUUUUGGGAGAUUUAAUUGCUUUGGUGAGAGCAUUUAACUAGGGAGGAAAUUAAAAUGAAGAUAGUUUUAAUUUGGUUAUUUAAUGUUUUAGGAUUAUUGUAAUUCAAUCAUGUGGAGUGAGGAUUUGAUAGUUCCUCUAUUCAGUUAUAUAGUCAACUUUGAUUUGCAUGUUUGGUUGUCGAUAAAGUGUUUUGGUUAUUGUAUUUUUCGAAAUGGCUCGAGUGAAAUUAAUGAUUUCAAGAUGUCUCGAUACUUGGAGGAGUUACUUAUGUGUUACUCAAGUUAUGUUUAGGUCAAUUUUGUUUUAUGUUUUUGUUAUAAUAGAUAUGUAAAAUAGACGUUCGUAAGGACCAUUCUAGUCAAUUAUGCAUGUUCAUUGUUACUACUUUGAGUUAUUUGGUAAUUAUACUACUUUUACUAUUUAUCAAAAGCUCGUACGUAUAUCGCUCAAAAGCUUAUGCGCUACCUAUUAGACACUUUUAAAAUGACUAACUAAUGUUGGAUUGCAGGGUUUGUAUACCUUCUGGGUUGUUUGAGAGAAGGAUCAAAAUUGGGUGUUUCUCUCAUCCCUUUAUAAGUUAGUGUUAAAUAAUUUUCACUUUCAAUUCGUACAUUUAUCCAUUAACAUCGUCUUUCCUACCUUCUUUCUUCCUAUUUUCCUAACUUUAAGACUAUGUAAUAACUCUCCACGCACCAUUAAAAUUCACUUGAUCAAUGUAUUCUAACAGCCCCAAAAGACAUUAACUCAUUUCCACUAUGAUUAGUUAGAUAAGUCAUAAGUGGUAAAAUUUCGAAAGACGUGCUUAAAACAAAUGGGCAAGGCAAAAAGAAAAUGGUACACUAAUUGUAUAGUCUUGGAAUGUAAAUAAAAGAGGGAAAAUAUUCUUUUUUUUCUUGUGUUUUAAUUCCAGUUACUAUUUGAUUCUUAGGUUUGUAAUGUAUUUUUGGUAUUACGUUUUAAGUUUUGAGUUGUAUUUCAAAUUAAUUCUUAAAUUUUAACAUGGUUACAAUUUUAUAUUUGGGAGGUUUGAGUUUUAUUUUUUUUAAUUUGAUACGAAAGUUUCAGCUUCUUUUACUUUCAAAGUCAUAUUUAUCCAACUUCAACAAUAUUUGAUAUACAUAUACACUUUUCUUCGAAGUAAGCUCAUAUUAGUUGUACUUUAAGAACAAAAUUAGUCACUCUAAGUAUAACUUAGUGGAAAAAAAAUACUAAUAUCAAUUUUUACAAACCUCAACGGUUUGAUUGUACACACUACAAUUAUUGAAUCGAGACAUCGACAUUUUAAAUUAAGGUCAUUUACGUUGUAUUGUAUGUAUACAAUACAUAAGAAUGGACUAGGAGUUUAGAGACUCGAUCACAUAUAUACAUAUAUUAUAGCUUUAGUGUAUAUUUGUGGUGGAGGAUUAUUAAAUACAAGCAUCCCAUUAUCUCUAUUUGGGCGUGUUGUUGUUGAUUAUUUAUUUAUUUACUUUUUAAAAGGGUGUUGCUGAAGUUAUGAUGCCUCAUUAUUCAUUUAAUUAAACUUAUACAUAGUUGAUUAUUAGAGGGAUUGAAACCUUAUUGAAAACUAACACAUCUACGUACGUCUAAGUUGGGUUUGCUCAUUAUUUUGUGUUUGAUUAGUUUAUAAAAUAUUUGACUAAUAGGAUUCACUGGAUAUAUAAUGCUCGAAAUCUAAUCAAAUAAUGGUUAGUUUUUUUUUUUUUUUUUUCCUUUUUUGUGUUUUAAAGAAAGAGCAGAAUAAAAAGCUUUAACUUCCUUUUGCAUAAUUUUAGCUUUUGUUAGGUGUAUGAAUUUGGGAGAUUAAUUAUUCUUUGUCAUUGCUUUCACAAAGCACUAAAACUUUGGUCUAAAACGGAAGUUGGGACACUGACUUUUUAGAGUGUUAUGGAAUAUAUAAAGAUUUUGAACCAACACAAAUUAGCCAAGUUGAUAGACAACCAUAUGCUAAUGUUGGCAAUGACACUUUUUAAUCAAUUUGGCGGGGCACCAAACUCAAUUCAAAUCAAAUUAUAGCUAAACCACAACAUUAAUCAAUAUAAUUAUAAAAAAAAAUACCACUAUCUUCUUAUCAUAGAUACACAUUGUAGUCCCUUUCGAUGAACUUAUAUUGUGGGUGAUAAAUUGACACUAUCUAGAGGUUUUGAUAUAAUCACUAGUCUUUACCUUCUCUAACUAACUUACUUGUCCAUCAAUAAAUGAGAAUAAAAGGUAAAAUAAGAAACUGAGAUGAAUUUAUACAUUCUUAAAAGUGAUUAACUGAUAGAAUUUAGGACGUUUGGAAUAAUUGAAUUCUAGUCAAGAUGAGCACUAAACAAAUGUAUGCCCUAUCACUCCCACUUGUAUUGGUUUUUCCAUUGAGUCCUUCAAUAGGGUAUGUGGAAGUGGAACCCAUCCAUCCUCGAGUACAAUAAAAAGAUGAUAAAUUCAAACUAUAGACCUUUUGUUUUGCUAAUACGUCAGGUAUGUAUAUGAUACAAAUCUCUCAAGUAACAAAUUAAAUACAUAUAUAUUCUCAAGAAUAAAUAAAUAAAUAAGUAAAAAUAAAGUGGUUCUUAAAAAUGGGUUUAUUAAUCUCUACUUUUCUCAACUACACAUUAGACACUUGAGUAAAUAUUCUAAUUUUUUGACAUAAUUCUAAAUAUAGUAACAAGAAAAGGGCAGUUAUGUCACUAAAACUUUCUUUGGACGAUUCAGGUGUAGCCUUGUUUACUUGGAGGAAGCUCAAAAAUUAGCCAAAACUCCCGUUCAUUCAGCCUUCUCUCGGACACAGUCUUCUUUAUGAAACAUAGCAUAUUGAUCCUCAAGUCCUACAUUCAAAGACCAAUCAUGUUGGUAAUAAUAGGGAUAUCAAAAUGCAAAACUAAACACUACAAUGCAAGUAGAGGGAAUCUCUAUAUUAUUUUCUGGUUCUUUAAAAUAUUAGUUCACGGUUGUUUUAUUUUCAUUAUCGAACAUUGGGUAUUUACAUUGACAAGUAUUUGAACACAUGUUGUGAGUCAAACAUAAAGUUUUCAAAUUUUUGUUUAAUGGUGACACUAUGAUAGAACCUAAAUAUACCAAUAUAAAUGGUAACCAAACUAUAAAAUAAACUAAAGUUUUUUCCAAUCUUGAGAUUAAUCUAAAGCCCUAGUUUACUCACCAAAAUAUUGCCUACCCUCCUCAUUCCCCUACCAUAUUUAUAACCAAGAAUAACAAACUCUCUAGCUAAUUACUAAUUACCUUCAAUACUCGGUCCCUGAUGCCAUCUCUAUCACACUAAUCACAAUGAAAAGAGACCUUGUAUUUCUUAUCAGGAAAGAAACAUAAGUUGAGUUGGCUGGGGAAGAAACAUUUAUACUUUGGGCAAAUUGAAAAAAUGGGAGGGGAAGUUGUUGGGAUUUUCUUCAAGUGUUUCUAUGCGUUUAAGUUAUAAAUGGUGAGAUUUUUUAAAUCCUAUGGUUUCAUCUGAACAGAAGUUUGAGGGAUAACCUGUUGAAGAGAACAUCUGUACAACAACCAAGAACUUAGGUAAUUGCCCAAAACUUCUUUCUACAGAUCAGCACAGAUUCUGGGUUAUUAUCUUUCGUUUGCAGUGUCUGCAUUUCAACAUCCCAUAGAUAUUUGGAAGCAAUUUCUUGUAUUCUUGAUGUUAUUGAAGGUUCGUCUCUGAUGAUUAUGUAUCCCUGUACAUGAAAAUGAUUCAAAGACAAUUUGAAGCAUAAAUUAGAAACAGUAGAAGAUAUGCCAAUAGGCAGAUUACGCUUGCUUCUCCCUUCCUAAAUUUUAGCAUUAUGGGAGGAGAUCUCCGUUACAAAGAACUUUGAUAACAGAAAUGUCAUGCCCAUGAAAUCUUACAAGAACAGAGAAAUGGAUACAUCAUACAGCAUUACGGUGACAUGCUAUUUUCUAAAAAUCUAGACAUACUAAGCAUUGUUCAGGACAUGUUUAUUAGAAUGUGCAUUUCUUAGAUAUACAUUCUUUAGAUAUUCGUUAAAAAUUCCUGUGCUAACCCUUUUAACUUAAGAUAUUUUCAUGCCAGAGAUAAUGUAAAAGAAGUAAAGAUAGCAAUACUUGAAGAGUUUGGAGAAACUAAUGAACUAUUUCUCAUGGUACAAUGACUAAUAUCAAACUUUUCAAAUGCAUAGAACAAACUAACAUUUUUGUUGAAAUUUAAAGCGACAACAUGGAUUAUAUGUGCUAGUAAAAAAUUAUAUAGUUAGACAAAAAGUUUAGUCCAUGAACUUGGAUGUAUUUAAAAGAUCUUUAAAUGUUAAGAAGCUCCAACGAAGGGCAUUUUUGGCCCAAAGAGUAGGAGAUUAGGGGAAGUGGAGUGGACUUCCCUCCUUGUUUGGUCAAAGAAGCUUGUGGACCCCACACACUUAAACAACUCUCCAAUUUUAACAACUACCCAAACUAAACAACUUCACUCCUUACCCAAAUGCCCCCCCCAUAAAUCUCAAAACUUUUAGUUUUAUGUUCCAUAUGUUCCUUAACUUUAUAAAUGUUUAAAUCCUUCAUCUUUCAUUUUUUUAUCUAUUAAGUCAUUGUCAUUGAUUUAUUAAUCAAACAUUUUGUAAACUAUUAAACAAAAUAGAAAAUUGAGGGCCUAUAAAAUGAUUUUAAAGUUCAAAAACUUGUCGACACAAAAUUAAAAGUGUAUAAACCUAUUAAGCUAUUACAUACUCUUUUAAGUUGAGAGAUUUAUAAAACACAACUAAAGGACUAGACUUAAAUUUUUAAUUAGACCUUAGGGGGCGUUAAAGACAAGGACUAUCCUAAGACUAUAAUAACUACCUCUUGCUACAGCUACAGUGAAUACUCUUUUAUACUCCCAAUUUAGCUGAAGUCAACACUAUUUCAAAGGCCCUCAUUUCCUACAAUAUUUACUAUUUGCUAAAGUUUUUACUAUUUUACAUUUUCAUUAAUUUUUAUUAUUUACUAGUCUCCUAUUUCCUUCUCAAACUAAAGUAGUUUACACCUCACACGCAUACUUUUAUAACCCAAACUAAAAUAAUCUACGUACCAAACACAAACUAUUAUAACUAAUCUAUAAUAACCAACUCCUUGUCCCAAACAACCCCCUGCUAAUUUUAUCCUAAUAUUUGUCCAUGUUUGUACUUUCUAUAUUAUGUGUGUAUAAAUAAAUAAAAUAGAUACUUUAGGUCCUUCAUUUGUUUAGUAGGGUCGUAAUUUCUAUAAUUUGACAUGUAUUUAUUAUACUUAAGCGUUCAAUUCGAGUCCAAUCAUUUUUAGACUCCUUUAAUUCAUUCAAUUUUUGUUAAUGAGUGUCAAACUUGUGUCUAUCAUACUUGAGAACUGUUGGACACAAGUACAAUAAGGAGUAGUGUGGAUCUGACGCAGACACAUGCGUAAGCUCAAAUGGAAGUGUCCAUGCUUCAAAGCAAAUCUUAUUUAGUUCACCAAAUGCACAAGGGUCGUGUUGUGAUGUCCUUUUUGUUUCCUGUUAUUGUUUCAGAUUGUUGAGAAAUGUGUGUUUGGUAGUUUUUGUAUUUUGUCAAGGUUGAUUGUUCCUUUUUAUUUCAUAAGAAAUAUCAAGAGUAGAUUCCAAAAAAAGGAACAAGAACAGCCUAUAGGCCGACCACAGGGUCAAUUAUUACAUGACUCUGGUUUCUUGUUUUUAAGAAAUAAUUUUAAAAUAAAAGACACGGCUAGAGAUUUGAUUUCUUCUCUAAUUUUCAUGGUAUAAAAAUUGAAGUUAGAAUUAUUGUCUUAUCAAGUUCAGUCACAUAAUUCAUAAUAAAUCCAAAUUAUUUUGACUAUUUGAAUAUUUAAAAAAAACAAAUAAAGUUUUCUAUUAAUUUAAAGUUCUAAAAAAAAGGAAUUUCCAAACAUAUUUCUAUUUCUAUAAGACCAAAAUGCAUUUUUGUCUUACUUUUAAAAUUUUGGAAAACAAAAACCAAAUAUUGAGAAACAACAAACAAGAGAGGUAAACAGAUUAAUCAAAACUUUUACGAUGCUAAACACAUAGGCAAAAGAAAAUGCAUUAUGCAAGCAAUGGUAGCAACGGUUAUACCAGAAAAACGGAGGUCUCAAGCAUAGCAUCAAUAUCUGCCAAAAGUAAUUUCCCUAGUUUUGUCUCUUCUUGUGGCUAUUACAAGCUUGAAAAUUGAAGGAAUCAAAUUAAUUACCUGAGGUCGUACAAUGCGGUCCAUUUCCAACAUUAUAUCCUCCAGCAAGCAACCCUCUCCACCACUUUUAUACUGAGAAAAUAGACGGUAUGCAUGCAACAAAUCGUAUGUGCGCGGAUAAGUUGAAAAUGGUUCACACCUACAUUAUAAGAGAUAUUAGAAAACCAAACAUUCAUUAAGAAAAACGAAAGAAACCAAACGGGCAGUAAUAAAAACAAAAACAAAUAAACAAACGAACAAAUCUAUGCAUAAGAGACCUAAGACGCUAACCAAAAAAAGCAAGAAAGCUGACCAUGGCUCAUACCUUUCCCGAGACAGCCCCCAAAAGAGUUCUAUUUUUUUUCCCAAAGCAAUAGAAGUGUUUGCAUGCCAAACAGUAUAAUACUUCUAAUAUUUGGAAGAUGUUGGAGAACAAAUAACUUACCAAUCAUGAAAGACACCAACCAGGCCCCGGUCAUAUAUAGCAGAGAGCGUGUUUUUCAUCUUUAUAGGAACUACAUUCAUAACCCAGACUGGAAAAUUGUUCAAUGCCACUGCAAAUCCACCAUAGAGAGCAUUCAUGUCCAUGACAUUUCGAAUAUCAGUUUCACUGACAUUCAUCAGUUUCCAGUACUGGUUAACUUGAUCUUUCCAAUAUAAGGUAUCCAAAUCAAAUUCCUCUUGACUAACACCUGUGAUUGAAGACAACAAUAUCAUCAUAAAACACAGCAAUCAGAUUUUCUAGGUAAGAGAAAAUAGAAACUAAGAAUAAUCGAGGCACUUCUUAGGAAGGAAAACUAACAAAGGUUCACCUCGUACAAUUUGCUAGCUCAAUGGUUUUAACCAAUACCAUUAAUAAAAAAGAUUGAUUUACUCAAGACUGAGAAUAAGAAAUAAUUGGAAGGAAAUCAAUGGGAAUAGAAGCGGUAAUCCUAUGUUUACUUGGAAGUAACUAUAAAUAGACUUAGCAGCCUAUGCGUGCCACUUAUUACAUUAGAAAUAAGAACAAGACAUUACAAUUACCGAAACGUUCCUUCAACACACCAACGAACUAAGAAUAUAUUAAUCAUAAAAAAUACCAAUAGAAUUUUGGGUCGUUUUCAAAUAUAGUAAAAUUAACCAAAAUAUUUACAAAUAUAGUAAAUAUCACAGUCUUUGUCUACAUAUGUCAUGAUAGACACACGCACAAUCUAUUGCAAAUAGUCCUAUCUUGUUAUGUUUGUAAAUAUUUUCAGGAGUGGUAUCAUUUAAAAUUAUUUUCCUAAAAGUUUUAUAUUAGAAGAAUACUUAUUAGUAAUAAAUUUUAAUUUAUUUUAUUGUCCAUAAAUAGUAAUAAAAUAUAUCUCAACACUUAUUUGAUUCAACAAAUAAUAACAAACUAAAAAUAAAUAAUUAACAAAUUAGGUAAAAGUCUGAAAUCAUGGAUAGUAAAGGCUCAAUUGGAGAGAAAAAAAAGGAAAGGAGUGUUGUUAAAUAUUCGUCAUUUUCUGGACAUUCUUUUCAGUCUAAUUUUGAAUUAACAGUUGAGGUUCAAUGAUAAAUAGUCUUGAAAUCCCUUAGAACUUUAAAUAGUGAUAGAUUAAAUAAAUAAAUAAGCUACCAUUCCAAACAGUUUUUUAAAGUGAAGACAACUACAUCAAGUUAUCAAAGUUAUUAUUCAAAAGAAAAACACUCAGGAAAUCCACAAAUAGGCCACCGAGAUAUAAUUUCUGCUUUUGAAUGAGAGCUUGGUGAAUUGAAGAACCAAAAACAACUAGGAGGAUUCCUUUAGAAAGAAAAGGUAUACCUAUUUUCCGUAGAUUCCUUGAAUAUACUGAAAGGCGCUCUGGUCUUGGAGGUAACUUCUGAGCAUAUGACUGAUCAGUUACGUGAAUACAGUUUCUUAAAGGUAUUUUCCAUGAUGGUUGAAAAUCAUCCACAGCAUCACAUAUUUCCACAGCCUUAUUCUCUGCAUUGAUGAUGAGGCAUGCCGGAUUUUCCUGUUUGAUCCAGAUUGCAGUCUGAACCUUUCUGGCAAUGAGCUUCCAGCACAUUGCUGUAGUCAGAUUCACCAGUUUCUCCCAUAUCAUUGGGUAUUCUUUAUCUUUUCUAUAGGCAGGGGGUGCUGAAUAGACAAAAUAUCCAUUUGGUCGCAGAAGCCGAUCAACUUCUUUGAGUAAAAUACCAUCUGCAAGAAUAAAGACAGUGAAAGUUUAAUGACUUUCAAGUAUAAAUCAAAACGGUAAAAUUGACAAGAUUCAGGGUGAAGGCAUAUGAGAGCCUUCAUAAAAAAUUCAGUGUAUCAUGUCACAUUAUCACCCAAAAAGGAAUCUGAACUUAUUCAGCACUGACAAAGUAAACAAGUAGCAACUUUCUUACAGUUGGUAACUAUAAACGUGGACAUGGAUAAUGGCAUUGUGGUCUUCAUUUAUCUUAAUGCUGCUCUAGAGGUUUCAUAAGAUCAUUAGUCCUUUUUCCGUUAUUUAGAAGAUAAACAUAAAUAUUUUCUCUUCUUUUCUUUUUUCCAUCAAGUGACAAAAUUUCUCGUGGAAGAGAUGAAUAAAGAUCAAUGCUCAAAAAUGGCAUACAAACUCUCUAUAGCGCAUAAAGAAAAGUAGCAAGUGAGAAUAACAAAUAAUAAGUAAUGGCUGUUCAUAAAGAGUACUGGAAUACCAUUUUCAUGCCAAUCAACACGACACCUAGAGCAGUGGACCAUCUCAAAGGAACUUGUGGGAUACGGCAGUUGAUUUGUUGCCAAGGCAGAAAUCAUUGCACCAAUACCUCUCUCUAGCGCAAAUUGAAUCUGAUUCUCAUGCCCGUCCUUGGGAGCAAAGGACAUCGUUUGGAUGCCCAAUGAAAGAAGAUAAGCUGAGAAACUAGCAACGCCACAACCAACAUCUAAAACCUGAUAUACUCCAGCAGAGCUCAGAGUGCCUGUAUCAUUUGUAGUCAUGUUUCCUAAUCUGCGUUAGAAUAAAAUUUGAUCAAUAGAACAGUCUGAGAAGAAAAUCUAAUCAGUAAUUCAGAUUGAUCAUAAAUACAAGGAAUCCAUUUUAAUAUUACUUCCCAAAUUGAAAAUCAAAUUAGAACAGCGGAAGGAUGAAUAUGAACCGACUGAUUAAAGGGUAUGAGUAUAUUCACAUCCCAAUAAGGAAACAAAAUAAAGAGGAAAAGGGAAGAUUCAAUAAGAGGCAACAACGCUACCUUUGGAUGUACUCAGGCGCCCCAUGUUUGAAGUGAGUACCACCUCCAGGAAACCACCAUAGUUGGUCCUUCUCAUGGACCCAAUUUUGUCCUCCUUUAACUUCAGCAAGGCGUGUGUGAUUCACAUUACUUCGCCACACAUAAUCCCGACUGGUUGGCCACUUUACUGGGAUCUUGUAGUCUUCUGGUGGAGGUACCAAACAAAACAAGCGGUUAUCAAGUGGAGGGCAGUGCCUCUCGAGCUCUUCUUUUCUUGAAAGAUCCAAUGUAGGAAUCAAUUCUUUUAUGUAAGAAAUGUCGUGGCAAGGAAUAUACUCGGUGUAGUUUAAAGGACAUACAUCCACACCAUUCUCUGGAAUCGAAAGUGGUACCUUCCUGUAAGUGAUUGAAACUUGGUUUGGAAUUGUGGAAUUUCCUGCAGUAUAAGAGAUAAACUUUGAGACAAGGAAUUGAUUGCAACGAUAACUUAAAACCUUUAAAGUUCCUAGAAACACGGAACAAUUUCACAAACCCAGAAGGAACACACAUCAUCUGAAAAAGGGAGUGUGUUAAAGAUGAAGGAUAUACAAAGAACAAGUCAGAUAUUGCUUUGUUAGUUUGACAUUUCUUAGGCCACAUCUUUGACUUGAAAUAAAAUCAACUAAAUUCUAUCAGAGGAAAAAAUCGUCAGAAGACGAAUUUUAAUGUGAAGCUGUAACGUUUCAGAGAGAAGUCAAAUAGUAUAUUUAAGAAAAAAAUAUGUAUUUAUCAUUAAAAUUAAGGAAGACCCAUUUCAUUUACCCACUAGACUAAUUCAAAAUGUUGAAGUGGAUGAAGUUUGAGUUUGAUUCCCCUUCCUCUAAGCAGGAAAAAGUUAGUGGUAACACUAGUCUUAAUCACCGUGUAGAUAAUUAGUUCACUAAGCAUCUCCCUUCCAAGUUACACUUUCCUUUCCCAACUGAUAACGGGUCUUCCUUAAGAAAGUAAAGCAUCACUGCCAGAAACAAAGCAACCACCAGAUAUGCUUAAUUCUCUUAGUCUCUACACUAGUCAAACAAUCAAGGAAAUAAAACAAGCCAUCAACAAACCCAAUCCAGAACGCAGAUAUCCAGCAGAGCACAAGGAAGAAUACAAGAUCCGAAGCAUAAACUCGAGCAUUAAUUGAAUAGAGAUAAAACUUAAAAGCAAAAAAGUUAAUGAAUUUGGAUUCAGUUUUCGAAGAAACAACAUAGAGAGAGGACAGUACCGAGUGAUGAUGAAGAAGUGGAAUUGGAAGGAAGGUGAGAAACGUAAAUAGGAACAUUGUCGCCAAAAAGAGUACCAAAAUAAAAAGAUCCAACCAUAAGUAAGAGAGCGAGCAUUAUCAUCUGCCCUGACUGCAAAGCAAAAAAAUAACCCAAGCCAUAGGAACUGGCCAUUGUCUUCUUUCUUCCCUCCACAGAGCUUGGAUCUCGGAAACGAGCUGGAAAAUUGAAGAAUUCGUCAAGACCCAAAUGACAUUGCCAUUUGAGAGAGAGAUCGGAGUAGGAAUAGCUAUGAAUGUGGAAGUAAUUUGAAGCCUAAAGCUGAGAUUUCAGGAAGAGAAUAUUUUCAGUUUCGAUUCGAAGAUUUCACCGUUCGCUUUCACAAAUCUUCACUUCUUUAAUUUGUAGAGACGACAUACGUAUUCUCCUAAAAUAUUUAUAGUAAAUACUAAAUAAUUUGUUGAGAUACGUUUUUAAUUCUUUUUUUAAUUGUUCUUUUUUACUGUUGUAAAUAUUUUACCAAAUUCAAUAUUUUCUUAAUGAUAUACAAAUAAGGUUUAAAAUAUCAUAUUAUAACCCUCAAAUUUAUACAAAUUUGAUUAAACAUUAAUAAAACAUAUCUUUCAAUAUAUUAUAAAAACAAUUUUACCAUAUUUGAAAAAAAUUAGUCCAUGAUCCAUAAUUUGGAUUCCGACGUUUUUCUAUAACUUGACUUAUUAAAGUAAAAGUGUCUCUACAAACCAACACGAAUCUUUUUAUCAUACUUUGUCAUAACUCACAUAGAAUUAGUCAGAGUUCCUAUAAUCGAACUAUCGUACACCGAUUCAUUAAAAUCUCCCUCUUAAGCUUAGAACAUUAUAUACAUAUAAUAAGAUUCACGAUGUUUAGCAUUUAGAAAUUCAUCAUGAAGUAACAACUAUUUAUCAAAUAUAUUGAUAAGACAAACAACAAUAUCGUUUUAGUAUUAUCAAUAAACAAAAUCAUGAUAUUUUCGAUACCUUAGUAGUGUUUUAAAUACUAGCUUUGACAAUCUUAUCAAUUAAUUUUUUUUUGUGUAAUUUCUAACAAGAACCAACUAAAUAAGUUGCCAAUAUCAUAUCACACAAGUCCCAAUAAGAGAUAAACUUCAUUUUUAUCAUUAUAUUCACAAACAUGUCUUUCAAGAAUAAACAACAAAUUUAAACUCAGACAAAUGUAAUAAUUUAUUUACAAAUCUCCUAAAACAUUCACUUCAAUUUCUAUAAAAUAUAAAAAACAUUCCACAUAAAUUACCAUUUGCACACAACCCUUUGGGCAACUUUCCAAAUCAAAUGAUCCAUGUACAAGUUUUAGAAUGAAUUAUCCAUUAGCUUUUUAUGUUUCAACCUCAUGAAUGUUUAAUUCAUUUAUGUACGGUAUUCAUUCAAUAACUCAACAAUACCACUUUUCAAUCCCUAAACAUAAUUCCAAACAAUGGAUGGUUAAACAUAUAUGCUUUUUAAUUUGAUUUAAAGAGUAUUACUUUUUGUAUUAUGAUCAAUGAUAACUUUAUCUUUUUUUCUCUCUCUUUCGUUCGUAGAUAACAACCUAACAAGCAACGUACACAAACUAGCCAAAAGGAGGGUAAAACUAUUAAGGAUAAAGACAGCCUAAAUGAUUAUAGACUUUCGAACUUCUAGUAUUUAAUGUGCUAUACAGUGGCCCAAUUAAUUCUAAUUAUGAUGACAAUGAAAAAAAACCAAUAAUUCUCACUUUGUUCCUUGACUAAUCUCAUGAGACAACCCGUUUAACCCUACAACAUUUGAGUAUAUAUUAAGAAAAGUUGUAGAAAAUUAAUUAUUUGGUAGGUGGCCUCCAUGAAUUGAACACAUGACUCAAAACAAUCAAAUUCAACCAAAAUAUUUGAGAUUGAUAGGAAAAAACAAACCGAACUCUGAUAGAGCAUAUCAUCAUUCAUUUAAGAACCUUCACGUCAUGAAUAAACUUGAAACAUGCAUUACAAACUUAUCCUAGAUGGGCUUGAAGCACUCAACCAAGACCUCCCGAGUCCGAAUCGAAAGAAGAAGAAGAAGAUGGCAAAGUAACAUAUGUGCUCAACUUUCAACAAGGAACCCGAAGAGAAUGCCAACCAAUCAUGGGAGUGUAUUGUUAAUUGGAAUCAUCUACUUAGCUUUGGCAUAUCGUGUCAAAACUCUACAAUACAUUUACCAAUCAAAACACUAAAUAGGGUUGGAAUUAAUCAAGUAGAUCUUUGAGAAAACAUCACUCACGUAAACACUCUACAAAAUCUAAAAGAGAAAAACAAAAAGAAGAGGAAAGAAGAUAAAAACGAAUGAAAUUGAAAUUAGGAGAGAUGGAUGAGCCAAAGAAAGACUAGUUACUACAUUAUGCUUCUAAACUUGUAAAGAUAAAUAAUACUCCAGCUUGUUUGGGCAGAAGGGACGGCGGUCGGUUUCUCGGGUCGUCUGGAACACCUUUCAGAAACAAAACCAGGUUUUCCCAAUUCGUAGCGUCGUUUCUCAUCGCCGGUUCCGCCAUAUUCAAAUUUCUCUCCAAUUCCGACAGGCAAUUGAUCAAUUACAGGAAAGCUUUCGAAAUUUGAAACUUCCGGCGAUGCCGACUUCUACUGCAGGAAUUGCAGGUUCAGGAGAUUCGUCCAAUACUAUAAUUGGUUCUAGUGCUGAAGAUAAAUCCCUCAAGGAAUCAGCUGCUGCUCAAUCUCAAUAUCGUGCUCAAAAUGAAGUGCAAGAACUUGAAAAGUCUAGCAAACAACUUUAUCCUUGCCAACCGGGAGAAGCUCAGGGUGCUGUGGCAAUACCUGCUGAUCAAGAGACAAACCGAAGUUCCGGGAACGAUCAGAACAUUGUUCCCCAUCAUGGUACGUUUAACAACAUUGCUGUCUCAUCUUCUAGCAACUUCAGGUCGAAUGUUGACGAUGCGAGAGACAUUGACAUUGCUGUUCAGGAUGCCGUGUUAAGGGAACAGGUAUGCACGAAUAUAUUUCAGUUUUUCAAAUUCCUUAAAAAAAAAUCAGCUUAGUUUUGAAUACUAUAAUGUGAUGACGCCUCCAUGUUCUGUUUCACAUUUAAUGGAAGUUUUGGUUAAUCGUCUUUUAAGUUUUUGUUUGCAUUGGUGCUCCCCUUUCAUCGUAUCCGUUCUGAUGGGGACUAAUUUUAUGGUUUUUUAGAGUUCAGAGACUAGAUUUCUAUAUUUUCAAGUUUCUCAAUCUAUACACCCCUAUUAUGAUGAUAAAUGAUAUGGACGGAAUGGUGAGAAAUUUCUUUUGGAAGGGGGAGUCUUUCAGACGGGUAGUCAAUUGACUAAAUAGAGCUGAACUUUUCUGCCUCUUCAAUAUGGGGGUCUUGGGCUGUCUGCAGCAAAGGAACAAGGCCAUGCUCCUUAAAUGGCUUUGGUGCUUCAUCUACGAAGAAACUGCCUCGCAGAGAGUUGUGAUUGCCUACGAAGAAACUCCCCUGUGCAGAGUUGCGAUUGCAAGCAUAUUGGUCUUUGGUGUGGGCUGUCUUGUCUCGAUGAGUGACAAUUAGAUUGAGGGUUGAGAUUGAUAGUGCUUAUUUGUCCGUAUGGAAUUGUAUUUUCAUUAUGAUUGAUACGCGGUAGUAGAGGCUUUAAAGGAAGUAACUGAAACUAUUUCAACGUGCAACCCAUUCCUUGUUGACUAAGAUGAUCUGUGUUGAGCUUGACUUGUAUGGUGAAACAAAGGCUGGGCGUGGUUGUUAAGAAUCUCUAUUGGCACUUGUAGAGGCAGAAUCCUUUUCUUUUGCAUGCAUGGCUAAAGGUUAGUUUAGGUAUGGAAUUCUUAUUAAUUUUUGCAGGAGUCCUUUGCAUGAUCAAAACAUUAGUGCUUUGGAACAGAUUGGGAGAGCUUGCAGGGAUAAUUGCUAUGAAAACAUUAAGGAAUUUAAACCGUAUUGGAACCUCCAUUGAGGUUGAGAACAAUUACUGUGGCUUUAUCCUCGCUGAAAAGUAGCAUAAUGACAUAAUUCGGAAGUUAUUCUAUGGUUAGCGUAGGGGAAUUGUGUGUGUGGUGGGGGAACCCUAAACACUCAUCUUAUAGAUUAAAAAUAUUACUUGCAACUUGUUUUUUUUUAUAGAAUUGACAUGUUGCUGUUUGUGUCCACUGUCCGGUGUCCACGUCUAUGCUUUCUAAUUGGUAGAUUUUGUUGGAGGGAAACAAUGUUUCCAAUACGAAGAGGAAGUUGCACCUAUCUGGGGAUUUUGGUUCUCUUUCAGCUUCCUGAUGGUGCCUCAAGUCUCCCAUACAUUGACAUUGGAGAGAAUUAUAUAUUUAUUUUAUUUCUUCUUGAAAUUUCUUUAGCUCUCCAUUUGUAAUUUUAUUCAUAAGCAAGACACUGUUUCUUAUCUAUGUAACUAAAUUAUUUUAGUUUUCAAACACUUUAAUUAGUUUUUUUUUCCCCUAACAGGAACUUGCUACCCAAAAUAUUAUUCGUAGCCAAAGGUGAUGGUUCUUCAUUUGUUUUUGAGUUAUUACAGUUCAGAUUGAUAAUGAAAACUAAAUAUGUUACCAUCCCCAGAGAUUCCGUGGGUGCAGAUGGACUUCCGGUUGAGCGAUCAGAUAUCUUUUCAGAACGUUAUGACCCGAGUUCUCUUAAAGUAUGUGACUUUCUACCUUUAUACAACUUUUGUUCAUAAAUUUUCUUUAGAAUGUAGAAUAGCCGCAUGCUUACACCCAUCAAUAGAUUUAGUUGUAUGUCAUCACUGCCUCCAUGGUCCCUAUUUAUCUACUUUCAUGAGAAAUAAAUGUCUUAUGUCAAGUUUAUGUAGAUACGAAAAGAGGAACUAGGUUUUGUAUUACAAUUUGAGAACAAUAUUGCACUUUGAUGUUUAUUUUAACAAGCCCAUUUAUAUGAGAACUUGAAGAAAAAAAUUCAUUAGUUAAGGCAGUUAGUUUAACAACUAAAAGGAAACCAAUCCUUAAGUAACUAACCUAACAAAAAGAAAGCGUAAUACACAUAGUAUGUGUAACGUCUGCGUUUAGGAUGGGUACACGUACAUGAAUGACAUGAUAUCGCAUUUGAAUGAGAGUAUGGUUAAAAGUUGUGAAAGUAUGGUUAAGAAUGACUUAAAAGAAUUUAAAGAUAUUAUCUAUACCAACAAGGUGCACCAUCCUUUUGGGUGACUCAAUUAUAGGAACUCAUCCUAGGAAUUUUUCUGGGAAGCAUGUGAGUGAGGACAAAACAUGUUAUAAAGACUCGUGUAAUUGUGUUGGUUUGAUGUAAUAGUCUUCACGCUUGAAAGGAGUUUAAGAUGAGCAAAGAUGAUGUUGCUAGGUCGUAGGGGAUGCAGAAGAAUGUUGGGGCCAUCAUGUGGCGAAUAUGGAUUUCAAAGCUUAGGUUUGCGGCGUUACAGAUGGUAUUAGAGUGGAACCUCUCUUAGUAAAAUGUGGUUUGAGGACGUUAUAGAAAAACUAUUCUAGUGUAGUAUCUAACUACUAGCCUUCUUUUCUGAAUUUAACUUGCCUUCAAGAUUCUUGUCUUCGAAUGAAGCUCAUCUUGGAUCAUGUGGGGAGUUAAAAAAAGAUCAUGUGGGCAUUGGAUACUCUGUCGUAAGAUUGGUUGUAUACUUCUUGAGCAUUUAUCUUAUUGAAAAACUUCUUAAGCAUUAACGCAUGUUAGAAAAUAUUCUUUGUUUUGAAGUGCAACAAACAUGCCUUAACAGAUUAAUAACCUAAAACAUGAGGACUAUUCCCUCCAGCCAAUGACUGUAAAAUUUAACCAGCUAUUAUUGGCUAGUUUACAAAGAAGUCCCACAUCAAUUUCAUGCAUGUUGUCAGUCCUGCCAUUAGAAAAAUUACCAUCAAGUACUGCAACCACUUUCCUAUUCCUAGACUAUCGGAUUUGUUAGAAUAACUAUUUGGAUCCACAAUCUUUUUAAUGAUAAAUCCUUUGCCUCAGCCUGCUAGAGGUGUGAUUUGUUCAACUUUUGGCUGGUCCCUUGCAUUAUCUGAAGAUCCUUUCGUUCUGAUUGCCCUGAUACUUGUCGCCAUUGUCGGUUACCCAUUCAAGGAGGGAGAACAAGAUCAUUUAUCUCAACUUUUCUAGAGCCUUUUAUGGUCUCUGUGGAGGAAUAAACAUAAUUCUUAAGUCUUUAAGGACAAUGACUGAUGGUUCAGCAACGCUUUUGAUUCUCCAUCCUUUUUCAGCUCCCACAUGGUGUAAAUUAGUACCCACCUUUUCUGAUACAAUCUCUUCUCUUGUAGCUCAAAAACUUUUUUUAACUUUUCUUUAGGGUAGGAUCCCUCCCCUUUUUUAUAAUCUCAUCUCAUAAAUACAAUGUUGCUUAUCCAAAGAUAAAAAGGGAGUUACUAUAAUUAUCAUUAUAAAAGAGGAGGUAACUCGGGGAAAGAUGAACCAAAAACGCACAGCCAAAAAUGUGAUGAGAAGGGAUUAUUUAAAUCCUCCCUAAUACCUUACAUCAGAAUCGUUCCUAAUUACCCAUUGUGAGACCAUGGACAUCUGCUUUGCUCUCUUGUUUUUGUUUAUAUUGCAUGACACUGUUAUACAGACAAAGGCUUAUUAUUUGUUAUCAUGUUUUGUAGCUUUAAUUUUUUUUUCUUUAUGCCUUUUAUCUCAGGAGCAUCUUUUGAAGAUUACUUCUGAACAUCGUGCAGAAAUGGCUAUAAAAAGGGGAAAGUUGAAUCUUCCAGAAGAAGGUCGGUACUUUGUGAUAUGGCUUCCUCUUCCUAUUGAUGUUUUUCUCUUCACUUGAUCUUCUUGUGGUGCAAUAGUAGAUGCUUAAGUACUCUAAGGUGAAGAUAUCAAUUGUUGGAUGAAAAGGGUUUAUAGUACAAUUACACAUUGUUAGAGAUAUGUAUGGAAGUGCUUAGGGCUAUGCAAGGAAGAAAUUUCCUUUUAGAGUAUUUGGGUCAACUUAUAAGUAUAAACUAUUCUCAUGGGACAGAUUGUUGGAUGCUACAUCAUGCAGUUUUUGAGGAACACUAGGAUUUUUUUCUCUAAUUGUAGAUAGGUGGCCACUUUGGGACUUGAACCCUUGCCUCAAAGUCCCCAAGUUCUUCAUGAGGCCCUUUACCUCUUUGUAACUCUCAUUAUUGGACCAAGUCGGGUCGAUCUGAGUGAGAAAGGUAAGGCCCAAGAUUGGUUGAACCUCCAAAAUCCUAUUUGAGGGCCUUGCUUAUGCUGACUUAUUCCAUCAAAAUUUGUAUGGGGUUUGGGUUGACCCAUUGGAUGAUUAACUUUUAAAAAUUACUGUGUUGGAAUUUUCUUAAACAAAAUUGUACUGUAACCAUAGGUUAGGUUUCAUUGUACUUAACUAGGGUUCAUCCCUUUAGUGGUACCUCCUUUUUGUUGGCUUAUUUUUUCUAAUGCUCUUGUAUUCUUUCAUCAUUUCUCAAUGAAAAUUAAUGAAAAUUUGGUUCUUUAUAUGAGAAAAAACAAAUUAUAUUAAAACUUGUGAUUUAUAUUUUGUUAUAGAAGAUGCCGACAAUUCUGUGCAUGAGAACAAGUGAAGAAAGGAUUGGUUCUUAUCCUCCUUAUUUUUCCUCGUGCACCUCAAGGAAACAAGUCCCUCGAACACCUCAAGGAAAAAGGCAACAAAAAGGCCAUAUUUGAGUGGAGCCAGGUGCAAUGAAUAGAUAAAUAAAUAAAUAAAAUAUUUAGGUUGCAUGGCUUUGUUGGGCCUAGAUGGUGGGUUAUAACGUUAUAAGCAUAUUUGUUAAAUAAAAUAAGAAAAAGAAACAGAACACCCUAUUAUUUUAAUCAGGGGCCUUGGACUAAGCUAAACAGUCAAAGGUGCAUAGGGCUAGUGCCCAACUGAAAAAUCGCUUGCCCCACUUUCUUUUUCAAUCAUGGGAGAGAGUUUCUUGGUAGGUCAACUUCUUGUAGAUCUUUUAUAAUAGGGAAAGUGAGCACAAUUCAAUUGACAUUAAAAUUUGGUAUCAACCUGAAUGUCAAAGGUCUGAAUCCCCCACCUUCUUGUUGAGCUUUCGACCUUCUGUAACAAUUUGCUCAAGUGUAACAUGGAAUGUUUUUAGGACAGAUGGAUACUGUUGGAAAAUGAUCACAAUGUUGUGUGCUUGAAUUCUUCCUCUUAGGUUUCAACUUCUCUCUUUCAAAAAAUUUCCAUUAUACUGUUUAUUGCAAAUUGGGAUUUCACUUGUUUUUCUUCUUUUUUUUUUUCCUCUUUUGUGUUUGUGGCUUGCAACUCUUAUUCUUGUUUUGUGCAACUUCCUUGUAAUUAUAAUUAUACUUUAACUACUAUAAACGCCAAGUGGGUACCAUUUUUUCUUUUUUUAACUCGGCUUUUUAAUGUAAUUUCAAUACUGUUAAACAAAUUGUCCUCUAUAUCUAGAACAAAAUAUUUUAUGGCCUUUUACAAUUAAAUUUUUUGUAGCACAGAGACCACUUUGAAAGAAUUAAUAAAAUCAGCAGAUAUGUGCCUACUUCUCUAGAUUGUUAUUCUAUAUUGGAGAUUCCAACAAACUCAAACAUAUAAUCUUCCUUUUCCCUUUCAAGGAGAAUGACAUCUUGUUGUCAUGUCAGGGAACUUGGAAAUUGGAAAUGGAUACGGAGUACCUGGUGGAUGUGCUUUCUAUGGUGCUUCAAAGCCUGGAAUUGUUGCCAAUGGUUUAAAACUUAAACCUUUUUCCUUUUGCUUGAUUUUGAUGUUGAUUUCCAGUUGGUUCAUUUGUCCUGCUUUCAGGAAAUAAUGUGACUGGCCAGAAAAUCCAGGGACAGAUCAAGGAAGCAGAACAAAGUUCUGCUUCCAAGGCAUUGCCCGAGUACCUCAAGCAGAAGCUAAGAGCUAGGGGUAUUCUUAAAGAAGAUGCAGAACACAGCAAUUCUGUAAGGGCUGAUGUGCGUAACUUCCUAAAACAUGUCUUGGCAGGACGCCUUAGUUUUAUUAUUUAGCCACAGACCUAUUUGAUCCAUUUAAACCAAUAUUUACUCUUUUCUCGCUGAUGGGGAAACACUUCAAUUUUUUCUCUUUUCUUAUCUUUAAAAAGCAGAUUUACAAAGAAAAGCUUGUGCACCUAAAUUUUGUUCAGAUUUAUAAAUAUCCUUUUGUUUCAAUUUUGAGAUUUCUAGAAUUUGUGUACUUCUGAUAGCAAUCAUAGUUCCAUGGUUCUGCUGAUAUUCUUUAUUCAAUUGCUUCUCUCUUAAAUUACAGACAAAUUCUGACGCUGUUUCAAACACAAAGUUGCAAGGAGAAAAGCUGCCUCAUGGAUGGGUGUGUACUGUUUGCAAUUCCUUUACCAAUUGUGUGCAGUGCUCUCUUUCUCUAUCAAGCUUGUUAGAAUUGCCUAUUGCAACUUGGGAAGGUUAUUUUGUUUGAUAGCUGAGCUGAUUAGGUGGCCUUAGUUUACAUUAUUUUUUAAAUAUUUCCAAUAAGUAGGAAUUUAACAUGCUUAACUAUUUAUUCUGUGGGGUAAUAAAAAAGUAUAUUAAAUCUACUUAGUUAUAAUAUAUCAUACAUUUAUAUAUUACUAGUGUGGUGUUUACUAAAACAGUUAAGUUUGUGAAGUGAACGAGUUUUGUCAGAAUAAUUACGGAAGGUCAUUUUCCUAAGUGUGAGUGAGUAGACCUAGUAUCCACUUUGCGGGAACUUUAUUAUGGAGUUGAAGCGGCCCUUACUGUGUUAGGGACUUGGGGAUUUUAUUUUUGUAAUUCUUUUGAGUCAUUUAAGGUUGUUGGCAACCUCUGGAUUUUGGGUAGCAAAAACAUUAUCAACUCUGGAUGUGAGUAUUGUACUUUCUUUUCAAACAUAAUUUCUAUUUGAUUCUAAGGUUUCCAAAACUAAUACUUUUGGUUCUUAAGAUUUGAAUUUGGUUGUUAUUUGAUUUUUGAGGUUAUAAAAUUGACAUGUCUAGUUUUUUAUAUCUAAAUUUGAUUUCUAGUUAAUCCCUGAAGUUUGAAAUUGGUUUUUAAUACCCAAGUAUAAAAAAUAAUUCCAGCAAUGUCUAGUUAGCAUAUUGUAACUGAACUGAUGUAUUCUGUUAUAUCAACUAGCAGACAAUUAUAUUUAGGGACCAUUUAGGAACCUAUUUCAAACCUUAGGAACCAAUUAUAUCAAAUUUAAACAUAGGAAUUAAAUAUGUUGCUUUUGAAAUCUCAAGGACCAAUUACAAACCAAAUUCAAAUAUCAAGGAUCAAAAGUUCUAGCUUUAAAAACCCAUUGACCAAACAGAAACUUAGUAUCCAGGGACCAAAAGUAAGUUUUUCUCCCUCAAAAAAAAAAAAAAAAAAGAACGAUUCUAAGAAGUUUCAAUAAAAUAUGAAGAUGUGUUGUGAUGUUUCUUGUUUUUGGAAGUUUGUCCUUAGGCCUCCAUUUUAUAAACUUGUAUGCUUCUCUGCAUAGGUGGAGGCUAAAGACCCUCACAGUGGUGUUUCAUAUUAUUAUAAUGAAAGUAGUGGAAAGAGUCAAUGGGAAAGGCCCUCCGAACUUUCUUCUAAUACGCAACUUUCAUCAGCUGUAUCCCUUCCAGAAGAUUGGAUGGAGGCAAUCGAUCAAACAUCAGGUCGGUAAGAGAUUUAAUGAUUUAUGAUGCUGAUAUACCUUCUUCCAUGCAUAAUUUGGAGGAGAAAAGAUAAGAAAUCUGGAGGAAUUACAGCACGAUAAUCCUUGUUGUUUCAGUUUUACCAUACUUUUUCUCAAUGCAUUUAUACAUUUCUGGUUUCCCCUGUCCUGCAUCCCUACCUUUUCUACGAGUCAUUGAUGUGGAGACUGUAGAGUCUAGAGGUUGAAGGCUAGAGUAAUUGGCUUGAAUUGCGUGGAAACUUUUGUAUUUGGCAUCUCAUGAACCUUCUUUAUAAAUUUUGCAAGCCUUGAAAAUGGAAUUAUCCGUUGAGGGACGCUUAUGUCGUGCCUUUAUUAUGUUGUUCUAGUUGUAAUUGGUGGUUUUCCCAACUUCAAUGGAGAAGUGUUCAGAAAAAAGUUGCUGAAUAACAUAAUUUGCAGUUUUGCUCCCAUUGACAAAUUUUCAUACGACCGCAGGCGUAAAAUACUACUACAAUAUGAGAACCCAUGUAACCCAGUGGGAGCGGCCUGUUGCAUCUCAUCAGACAACUUUGACACACUCGAAUGAUAAGUUUCCUGGGCCUUGGAACGACCAAACUUUGGAGCAAAGUAAAUGCAUCACAUGUGGAAGUGGAAUGACCCUCGUGCAGGGUUCAAGAUACUGCAACAGUUGUACAAGGUAAAUGAGAUAGUCUAUAUAUCUAUGCUAAGAAAAUGAAGGUCUUUUCAUUAAGAGACUGGAAAGUACAAGAGAGGAUGCAUACGAGUGAACAAACUUGAUUAAAAGAGAUAUUGCAAUACGUACGGAAAUUUGAGUCCCCCACUCUCCCCUCCCACUAGACUACUCUAAUCUAGUUGGAGGAGUUACAUUUUUGUUAGGCAAAUCGGUUUGCCAUUUUUAUGAUGAAGCCUCUGCAUUAUGUUGUAAGGCAGUUGUUAGUAUUCAGCAAAACCUGAAGCUGGGUUUUUCUUCUAAAGUCAUAUAACCUGCCUCUGUAAGGAUGCCUUGGUGAGCAUUAGUAAGCAUAAAGUUUUGUAGAUUCUUCUGCCUUCAAAUGAGGCUGCAGUAACAUAUCUAAUUUCUAGAAAAAUGUGGGCUCUUCUUCCUUGAUCGGAUUUCCUUCAAGUUUCAGAGUUGCUGUCCAAACAACUUGAUUUCUGAUUUGUGGGAAUAUUUGAGCCAUUCUUGGAAAAAUUACAUUGAGGAGACAUUUGAAGGAUAACGAGAUUAUGCAUUUUUAGUGACCUAAUUUUACUCUUGGAAGAGGUUCAUUUAGCCCGUGGGAUGAUAAAAGAAGUACUGCUGCUUGGUCAUAUGGAGUCCACAAUCAAAUCCCUAAUUAGUAAGCUGUUUGGAAAUCCCAAUGUCCUCUUCCUUGUUUAAAGCUUGUCGUAAAUCCAAAUUUUCAAAGAAAAUCAGCUUCUUUUGUGAUUUUUUAAUGGUCGGACAUCAGAGAAAGCUUGCUUUCAUUGUAUGAUCCCCCUGGCUUGCCCCUUUGUGGUUUCUGGACUUAGAAGACCAGAAGCACUUUUCAUUGUGGGUUUAUUGUUAAAAGGUGGGGGGAAAGCCUCUAUUUUAUUUUCAAUUUUAUCAUUAAAUAUUUUCCAUCUCUCUACUAAAUGCUAUACUACUCGUCAGCCUCUUUUAGAUUCUGACUAAGAGCCCACAGAUACAUCUUACUCAUCCAUCAAGAACAUCCUCCUCCCCUCACCUCACAUUUCCUCUCAUACAUGAUACUUGUUUAUUAGACACAAUUUACUGCUCAACAAGAUGGGCACCCACUAACUGUUUUCUUACUGCAAUUUUAUCUGGAUAAAUUCUCACACUUCGUUCUUCAUUGCAUUGGUUUUGUGUCUAAAUUGACUAGUGGGGUUUCUACAAGUUCAACCAAUGGGAUUUGGCAGGAUCAACCGUCUGAGCAAAAUAAAUGCAUGGGAUGUGGUGGCUGGGGACUAGGCCUUGUGCAAGCUUGGGGUUACUGUAUUCAUUGCACACGGUAUGUUGAUCACUCUUAUUAUUCAGCACUAUCAUGUAGCAUAUCAUUGUAUUUGGUAUGAUUGUUUGUGACUAUGUAUGAACUGAUGUGUGGAUGAAGGUAGUUAGGGUUAGAAGUUCAUUAGCUAGACUGCUUGAGUGAUGCAAUUAUUUUAAUUUAAAAUCCUAGUUGUUUCUAUGACACGUUUACAGUUUUUCAGCCAUUACUCUCGAUAAAUUCAUACAAAUAUUUUUUUUUCCUCAUGGAUUAUGUAUUCGCUUUUGUUUUACCCUCUUUUUAUUAUUAUUAAUAUUAUUUUUUAUUUAUUUAUUCACAACGACUUUCAGAAUUCUCGGUCUCCCCCAGUGCCAGUACUUGCCAACCAACAACAUUAGUAAUCAGCAGAAGAUAGAGAACGUCAAGCAUAGCGCUGAUCCCUCCAUUAAAAAAUCUGUGACAGAUAGGUAAAGAAACAGUCCUCUGACUUCGGACUUAGUUAAGUCGAGAAAUAGGGGAGGAUUAAGUUAUGAAGCUAAUGAGUAUCGGUUGUCAGGUCCAAAUGGAAACCUCCAAUAGGGAAAGGUGGAAAGCGAGAAAGUAGGAAGCGUUCCUACAGUGAGGAUGAUGAAUUAGAUCCAAUGGAUCCUAGCUCUUAUUCAGAUGCUCCUCGUGGUGGCUGGUAUGUCUUCAAAAAUUAGCUCUCUAGGUUGAAUACUAGUUGAUUAUUUAGGCCUCAUUUGACAAAGGUUUUAGUUUUAGUUUUUUGUGCCUAUUUUCUUCCAUUUGUUUAUAAUAGUUUUCAUCUUUCGUAAGAAAUUAUUUAAAUUGCUAUUCAAUUAAGCAAUUGAAAUCAUCGUAAGGAAAUAUCUAAAUUAGCUCUCUGGGUUUAAUUGCUAUUCAAGUUUUUUUAAUAACUAUAUUUUUAAAAUUUCAAGACUUGGCUUGGAUGUUGAAAUCAUCCUUAAAUAAUAGAUAACAAAACAAAGAAAUUCAUAGGAUAGUAGCUGCUUUUAUAAACUUAACAACUAAAAGUCGAAGGGUUAUCAAAUGGGUCUUAGAAAAUCUGUCCAAGAAGUAGAAUGAUAUUAAUUGUUUGUUUUGAUUACUUUUCAGGGUUGUGGGUCUAAAAGGUGUGCAGCCUCGGGCAGCAGAUACUACUGCUACAGUAAGUAGUAACUAAUCAUUUUAGAUUUUUAGCUGUUUGCUGUUGCAACCGUCUCACCUUAUAAUGGGCAAUUAUCAUUUCAUGUAUAGACAUGUUAUGUAGUUUCACAUAUACAAUUUAAAACAUUUCCUUCACAAUGGGCCUUGGUUUUAGUCUGUUUGAUGUAAUGUGCUGACUCUAGCGUCUGCAGUGAACUCUUGACACUGAUUAGAACAGGGGCUGUUCUCUUGUUCCUUAAUCCAAUCCUCAUUGUGUUGGAUCUCAUUUAAAAUAUUUUUUUUCUUAUUAAAUCGAAAUAACUUCUAAUUGGAUAAUAUAUACUUCCUCUCAUCGAUGGUGAAUGGCAGGGUCCUCUCUUUCAACAGCGGCCAUAUCCAUCACCUGGAGCUGUUCUGAGGAAGAAUGCUGAAAUUGCUUCACAGACCAAGAAGGGAAGCUCUCACUAUGCACCCAUUUCCAAGAGGGGAGAUGGAAGCGAUGGCCUUGGUGAUGCUGAUUGAUCUCUUCUAAUUUAUUCUGCUCCGACGAUACAGUGACCACUAUUUAUGUAGUGUAGAAGUACACUUUUCACUGGAGAUGCGACAUAUAUCUUUGACCGUAUAGCCUUACCUGAAGUUAUGGAUCAAAUGCACAUCUCACUUUCUGAAGGAGAGGAACGUGGCUGUACGAUGGUACGUUUCUUGUAUAUAUACUAAUUACUAUACUUCUAUAUGGAAAACUUGAGUCGUGGACAAAACGGUCAAUGAGGCAGAUUUUUAACCUUCACAUAUGUACCAGAAGAUUUGAAUUACUAGACAGGAGUAGAAAAUUCAAACUUAUUGUAUUUUGUUAAAAUGUUACAAUAAUUUAACUUAACGUCGACUAUACGAGACAAGCUUAGAAGUUUAUUAAUCCUACAAUUAUGCAAACUCUAAGUUUACCUUUCAUACUACUUCGAUAACUUUUGAUUUUAUAUUUCAUUUUUACUUUUGUACAUUAUAAUUUCACAAGUUAAACACUGUUAUUCAAACUUGAGGUUAUCGAUUCUGAAUUUUAUAAUUUAGAUGAAUUAAGUUGGUAAUAUGAAAAGAGAUCUCGGUGUUACACCGCCUUGUUGGGUUGCUUUUGGAUGGUUCCCUGGGAGUUCAGCCAAAGUGAGAUGGCAUUAGUUGUUUGUUGCUGAUGGAGAAUCAAUAUUUCAAAUAGAAAUAAGGAGUACAGUAUUUCUUUCUUUACUAUAUGAUAAUGGCAUGUGAUUACAUUGGUCUCAUCUGUUUGUUUACUUUCCAUAUUAGCUUAUUAUUGGGACCAGCUGUCUUACUAUAGAUUGAUCAUCAAUGUGAUGAUGUGUAUGUUGGUUACCUAUCUUUUCAAAUCCUCAAGUCAAUAUAGUAAAAUGACUUAUUACAUUACAUGAAUUGGAUUAUCAAUUUUAGCUGAUUACAUACCUCCUUAACACCAAUGAAGAUACUUAAACUAGAGAUUUCUAUGGGCCACGAUGGAAGACUUCCACAUUCUCGACCCCAUCAUAUUUCAAUCUUCAUCCUAUGAAUUGUUUUUCAAUAAUUUUGAGGAAAGUGAAGAUCUUUGCGAGGAAAUUAAACAUAUCAUCUUAUUUCUUUCUUUCUUUUACUUUCAAUCGAAAUAUAUAGUUUUUUUUUUUAAUUCUUUAAAUUGAGCAUUUUUAAUAUUAUUUCUAUUCAAAUAAUGCAAUAUAAACUUUUCUAAUAAAAACAAUAAUUAAAAUGUUAAAUUUCCAUAAUGUCAAAAAAGUUGAAUGCUGAAUUAUUACUACUUUACAGUUUUUCAACUUAAAUAUUACAAAAUUAUUGUUUUAGAGGUAAGUACGUUAUAAUUAUCCUAGAAAAUAUCUAUAUAAUUAAACAAAGGCAAAAACAUACAAUUAUCCUAGAAAAAAAAUAUAUAAACAAGGAAAAGGCAAAAUAAUUUGUUGUAAUUCAUAUCUCUUCCAUGAAAGGAAGAUAGAAGAAGUUGGUCGAUUAAAAAAAAAAAAGAAGAAGAAGAAGAAGAAAAGAAGAAAGAAAGAAGGGAACAAAUGUAAAAUAAGGUGAAUUUGAAUGAUAAUAAAAAAAUAAAAGAAGUUCAAAGAUAAGUAAAAAAUAAAAAUAAAAAAUUAAACUAUUAGUAAAAUAUAGACAACAAAAUAAGUUAUGUGAAAAUAAUAUCUAUUUAAACUGAAUUUUAAAAAACAAAAAUAGUAUUUGAGUGUAAAAAAGAUCAAAAUUUGAGUGAGAAAUGAGUAAAAAGUGAAAAUGAUAGCAUUAGAAAAAGAAGAAGAAGAAAUAAACAUAAAAAAUAGAAAAGUGAAAACAAAAAUGAUAUAGAAAACAUCCCAAAAACUUUUUGUAAUGGAAAAACGUGUCCUUCAAAUACCAAAGUGUUGGAUUUAUUGAAAGUCCAGCUUCGUGCUUCUUCUCUACACUCAAAAGGAUAGAGAAAACCCAAAAAAAAAAGAAAGAAAACUUUGGGAAUAAAUUCCAUUUUCUUCACUCUCCAUCUCCAUCUUCAUCAUCCCCCAUCUUUAGGGUUCCCUUCCCAUCUUCUUCCUUCUCUUUACCAUCACUUCACAUUCACAAAGGUGCGUUUUUUUUUUUUUCCCAUUUCAAUUUCUUGCUUUCUGUACUUCUCUAUUCCCUCUGUUUCUCCAUUCUUCACUGUGUUCCAUUGCCCGCUUUCCACUUUUUAUCUGAUGGGGCUCAUUCUGUUUUACAUUUUAAUUUAAUUGUUCUCAAGGUGUAGCCAAUGCUUGCAAAUUUAAGUUGAAUUUCCUGUUAAUUUCUGAUUUUGAUUCUCUUUUUUUUCUUUCUUUCUUUUGACUUGAUGUUGUUUCAACUAACUUCAUUGACUUAUUUAUUCGUUUGUUGAAGUGGGAAAAUUGAUUCCUGAAGUUGGUUUCACUUUUAUGGUUUGAUAGUGCUAUUUUUCAUACUUGAACAGUGUCACUGGAUCUAGGAUCGAUAUGUGUCUCAUAUGGUACAAACCCAUUUCUAUGCUAUUGUUGGAGUAUUGAUAUGAUUAAAUUUAACAUAAUCCAUUAGCUCUAGUGUUUGGAUUGAUGGAUGUCAUUUUUUCCUCAAUUAAUUCUGAUUUCUAUGUUGGAUCUAGUGAAGCAGUGUUGAAGUAUUGGUAUAAUUAAAUUUACUAUAACCCAUUAACUUAAGCUUUUGGAUUUAUUAGUGAUUUAAAAAUUAAGAUCUAAAAUGAUAAUGAUUCAUAUUGCUACUUUGGUGAUUAUCUUAGAGAAGUAUGCUUUGCUUAAGUUCUUGGACUGAUACUCCUUGGAAUUACCGAAUGGAAAAUCAGACAUUUUCUAGAGCUUGAUUUUAUUACGAACUAUUACUCCAAUGUUCCAAAGCAUUUUUGAGGUGAAGUUGUUCUUACACUAGCCUAUCCAACCAAUAGGAUGCUCUCUCGCACAUUGAACUUCCAAAUGCUUCUUCAAGCCCCAGAAAAUGUACUCUUACUGAUAUAUAUUCCUAGAUAUGUGGAUGUGCAUCAUCCAUUACAUAUUCAUGAUCGAAAUAGAAGCAAUUUGGGUUUGAAAUGUUUAAACUGCAGCUCUUUUGAAACCAUCAUUGGCGGCCUAGUGGUAAAUAAAAAUCUUGGGUUUGAUGAAUGACUUAAGAGGUUAAUUGAUCUAAUCUAGAAUCUGUUAUUUCAGAGCAGAGUUCUCAAACUUUUGCAUCUUGUGAUAAAUGAAACAUGCAUAUGAUGUGAAAGUACUUAUUUUGUGCUGAUUAAUUAAAUCCAGAAGUAAAAGGACAAAAGUCACCCAAGUGUUUUCUUUGUCAGCUGAGUACAUAACUCAGGCUUGAGAUUAUUAAACUUGAAAGUGACAAGAUUUAUAUGUAGCAAGCUAACAAUUCAAUACGUAAAGAAUGAGGUAUUUCACGGUUGAGACUUGCAGGGAAGAGAAGAAGGAUGUCGACUGCAAACACCCAUUGGUGUUACAGAUGCGAACAGCCAGUUCGACUUCGUGGGCGAGACAUGACUUGCCUUAGCUGUAAUGGAGGAUUUGUUCAAGAACUGGAUGAAAUGAUGGAAAGAAGUCCCCUUGAUUUAUUUGGAGCCAGUGGUAAUGAAUACCAAAACCGCAGGCUAGGACUCUUGGAGCUUUUCUCAAACUUUAUGAGGCAACGAUUGGUAGACAGAAAUGAUAUCAGGGGAAGGUUGGACUCAAUUCCAGAUCAUGGUCCAGGAUUUGGUCCUUGGUUGAUCUUUGGUGGCCAAAUUCCUGUUAGAUUGUCUGGACAUGGUGGAUUUGAAGCGUUUUUUAAUGGGGUACCUGGCAUUGGUGUGAGUAGGAGCAAUGGUGGUGAUUAUUUUAUUGGUCCUGGACUUGAAGAAUUGUUUGAGCAGCUUUCAGCAAACGAUCGACGAGGGCCACCACCGGCAUCAAGAUCUUCGAUUGAUGCAAUGCCUGUUGUUAAAAUUACACAAAGACACAUUCGUUCCAAUUCACACUGUCCUGUCUGCCAAGAUAAAUUUGAAUUAGGAUCUGAGGCUAGGCAAAUGCCAUGUGACCAUAUGUAUCAUUCAGAUUGUAUUGUUCCAUGGCUAGUCCAGCACAACUCCUGCCCUGUUUGCCGCCAAGAACUGCCUGCACAAGGGUCGGGUAGUAGCCAUAGCUCAUCUGGAAGCAACAAUUCUAGUCGAAACAGCCGAGAUAGGGAGAAUGGUAGAACGACUCAAGGAAGGAGGAAUCCAUUUACAAGUCUUUGGCCAUUCCGAGCAUCAAGCUCGAACUCUAACCAUAGUGCUACCACUGGAAGCAACUCACCAGCUCUACACGAGACUAACCAACACGAAACAGGGUACUACGGAUGGCCUUUCGACUAGCAUCAACACUGCGUUCCUAAACUUGUUUGCAGCAUUCAGUUUUUGUGAUUGUUAUUUAAGAUGAUGAAAAUAGUUCAAGCCCUGCAGUCCACUCUCUUGUAUAAUAAAUUGAUAAUAAUGGACUUCCUGUGUGAUGUAGACGACAUUUUUCUAUUCCUUAUCGAUGCUGCUGGAAUUUGUAUAUGCUUCAUGUAUAUUAGCAUGGCGUUUCUUUCUAGAGUUGCAGGUGGUCGGGAAAUCUGUCUGUUCAAGUGAGGAUUGCUGAAUCUUCUUCAACUGAAAGUUAAAACGUCCAAAUCAAGCUAUUCUAGUAUCUACUCAAAUUGACCAAUGUUUUCCUUAUGCAUCAUCAUUCAUACUAAAACUGUACAUGUUUUUCUAAAAGUAGAGGACAACAUAUUUUAGCAUUUAAGAAAUCUUUCAAGAUGGAUUGAGGAAAAAAGAAAAAAAAGGAAUGAGAUCUGAGAGUUACAGAUGCAAGAAAAAAAAGAUAAAAACGUGAUCCAAUAUUUGAGAUCAUGUGAGUUCUUAUACUUGAACAGUUUGGUUCUUGUACUUUGGAAAGUUACCAGGGUUCAAGGUUCAGCUUUUCAAAAAGUAUACAACAGUUCUUUAGAAUCUUUUUCUUUUGCCACGUACUAUUCCAAACAUAAUAAAAACGAGUUGCGAAUGGACAUGUAGUCCUCUCAAACUUAAAUUUAAAUUUAUUUAAAAAUUUAGAUCUUUGUUGUAUUUUGUUAUAUUAAAAAGGAAAAAAAGAGUGUUUUACAUAUAAAAAAUUAAAAGGCAAGCAUGGGCAAAUAUAACAAGUUUUGGUGUGAAAGUGUUGGAACUUUUAUCUCCUUAGUUUCAAGUUUGAAUUCUAGUAUGUUACAUUUCGAGUUUGGUUUUCAUUUAUUUUGCUUUUGAAGAUUUUAAAAUUAAUUAUAAUAGUAUUAGAAAAUUAGUGGAAAAAUAAUAAGUUGAGAGUGUAAAUCUUUUAAAACUUAAGCGUUGAAAGCAAACAAAAAAAAAGAGUAACUUUUUAAAAUGAAUAUAGAGAAAAUGAAGUAUAAAAAAUGUAUACAAAUUUAAAUUACAAAUUUGAUUAAUUUGAUUGCGAGACAGUUUUAACAUAUUUUAGUUAUAAAAGGUAACGAUUGUGUACUGCCAAUAGGAAUAAGGAGAGGGUGAGUUAGUUAAAAUAAUGAUUAUUGUUAUUGUUAUAACUUACAAGAAGAAAGAUAUUGAGAAUUCUUUACCAAUGAGCGAGAAUUGGAGUAAAAUUUCAUAUGAUUCUAGAAAACAAAGUUCAUAAACAAUUGCACAAACUGUGAAUACUGUCUUCUUUUUCAUUUAAGUUGGAUACAGAUCGCAGUUUUGGUGCCUCUUGAAAAAAGAACGAACAAAGCUUACUACAAACAACUUCAAAUCAGAACCAAUUUCAAAUGCAAAUCUUUUUGUAAGAAAAAAAAAUGCUCAAAAGAGGGAACUACAGCUACUAAAUAUGUCGGCUACUCGGUUAUUGGAGAACAAACAGACAUACUCUUCUUUCUGGAUAUCUGGAAUAAGGGAAUGAUAAAUGUUGCUUCAAUCUUCAUAAAACUCGGCCACUGAUUCAGUUGGCACUGGCGAGUUGAGUUCGGAGGAGCUUUGCGGCAGCAACCAUGUUCUUGAGAGCAGGAUUCACCUCGGCGUACUUGCGAGUUUUGAGACCACAGUCUGGAUUGACCCACAAGAUGUUGGUUUCGAGCACUGCAAGCAUCUUGUUGAUUCUGUCUGCGAUCUCUUCUGUUGAUGGUAUUCUAGGGGAGUGAAUGUCGUACACACCGGGGCCAAUUCCAGCACCAUACUUGACUCCCUCACGGAAAACUGACAAGAGCUUCUCGUCGGAGCGAGAGUUCUCAAUGGUGAUCACAUCAGCAUCCAUAUCGAUGAUGGAUUGGAUGAUGUCGUUGAAGUUAGAGUAGCACAUGUGAGUGUGAAUCUGUCAUGUAAUCAUUAGGUGAGUUUAACAUAUUAUGAACUUGUUGAAGGGGUAAUGAAAAUCCCAAUUGGUUAGUGAUGUAAACCUGAGUUGUGUCUUGGACACCACAGUUUGUGAUACGGAAAGAGUGAACAGACCAAUCCAAGUAGAAAGCAUGCUCAGACUUCCUUAGAGGUAAUCCUUCUCUUAAAGCAGCCUCAUCAAUUUGGAUGACAUUAAUGCCAGCCUUCUCGAGAUCCUCAACCUCGUCCUUGAUGGCCAAAGCGAUCUGAUAGCAUGUUUCGAAUCUAGAAGAUGAUAAUGUACACGAGAAGGAUUAGCCAUAAAGUCUGGUAUAAACUAUAAAGGGGAAAGAAAACAACUACAGUAGUUUCUUUCAGCUUGGAAACAUUAUCUUUCUUCUAUUACCUUGGCUGGUCGACUCUAACAAAAGACCAGUUGAGAAUGGUGACGGGGCCAGUGAGCAUUCCCUUCAUUGGGCGGGCUGUCAUGCUCUGAGCCAUGGUAGACCAGAAGACGGUCAUGGCUUUUGGGCGGCUCACGUCACCGUAGAUGAUUGGAGGCUUCACGCAACGAGAUCCGUAUGAUUGCACCCAACCAUUGACGGUGAAUGCAAAACCAGACAAUUGCUCCCCAAAGUAUUCAACCAUAUCGUUUCUCUGCAGUGAGGAUGAAAUUCAUAUUAGAAGAGCCAAAAUGAGGAGAAGGUACUACAACCUCCCUCGACAAAAACAGUGCUCUUGAUUUUCUGCUAAAUAGGCUCCAAAUAACUCACCUCGGGCUCUCCAUGAACCAGGACAUCAAUGUCGAGCUCUUCCUGGAGCUUGACAACCUUGCUAAUUUCUUCCUUGAUUGCCUUCACAUAUUCCUCCUCAGAGAUCCUAAAGAAUGGUAAAAAAAGAUGCAAACAUUAGAAACAGGGUUAAAGUAUUUAUGAACUUCAAGGAAAGCUGGUAUCAAUUUUUACUCACUUGUUAGCUUUGUAUUCACGACGAACCCUCCUGAGUUCAACAGUUUGAGGGAAAGAACCAAUGGUGGUGGUUGGAAGGAUUGGGAGAUUAAGCUUCUUCUGUUGAGCAUCGAGCCUUGCACUAACGUUUGUUGCACGGCGGUGAUCAGAGCCCUUCAAAGCAGCAGCCUGCACAAUCAAAAAGCAAUUAAUCAGUUAAUGAAAUCCCUGCAAACAGAUAGUUAAACACCUUAAAGAUAAGAAAUGAUUGUACGGACCGCUUUCUGAACAGCCUCAUUGGUCACCCUUGGGGAUGACUUCCUUGAAGCAUGAGCUUGAGCGUUAGAAGCAAAGAAUGCCUGAAAAGAAAAUUCCAAUAAGCUUAUGAGUUUGUGCCCAUCAAUUUCAAAAGGGUUAGUACCAAGGGAAGAACGUUCAAGAAAUAAUCUAAGUUACAACACAAAAGGUUAGAAAUCAAGGCCUAAAAACAUAGAAUACACCUUCAAUAGACAAAUGUCAUCCGAGUCAAGAAUAUACCUCAUCCUUUUGACCAGCCAAGGCCUUAGCCAAUGCAUUAACUUCAACAAUCUUUUGAGCAGCAAAAGCGAGCCAUGAUUUGAUUUCAUUGUCCAACUUGGUUUCAUUGACAAGGUCAACAGCAGUGUGAAGAAGUGAGCAGGAGGUGGAGACAACAAGAUGAUCUACAUAGUUUUUUUGGAUGAAGAAGGAAUGAGUAAAUAUGAACUCUCAAAUAAUAAUAAUUAAAUCAAGCAUCAUGAACCAACAUAGUAAUACAAAUGUAAGCAAAAGAAUAUCACCUUUACCCACAAGGGCAGUCAAUUCCUCCAAUGUGCUAACUGAAGCAGCAAGAUCAUUGGCCCAAAUGUUCCUUCCAUCAACUAGUCCAGCAAAAAGGUAUUUUCCCUUGGGGAAAUCACCCUUAAUCAAUUCAAGUGUCUUAGUUCCACGAACCAAAUCAAAUCCAUAGCCAGUGACACCCUUCAAAGAAGUAAGGGUCUUGUAUGCCUCAGCAGGGACAUCAGCGAAGUAUGUCUCAAUAAGAACAUUCAAGCCAGAGAGAGAUGAUUCUAGUUCAGCAUAUGCAUCGGAGAAGGCUUUCAAUUUGUGAGAAUCAAGGUCCAACACCAAUGUAGGCUCAUCAAACUGGAUCCAAGAAGCGCCAGCUGCUUUAAGAUCAGCAAUAACCUCCCUGAAAAGUUGGGCACCAUAUUAAUAUGUGAGAAAGAGAAUCAUUAUAGAAACACUAUGGAAAAUCUUGAUAGAGUGACGAAUUUUACUUGUAGACAGGAAGGAUCUUGUCAAGAAGGGAGAGGAGAGAGAAUGUCUUGUCAACACCCUUUGCAGGUUUGGAGAGCAACAAGUAUGACACGGGACCAACGAGAACUGGAACAGUGUCUACUCCAAGCUGCAUAAUCAAAAAAAUAUUUUUUACCUCAAUUCUUUGGUACUUGUAUACCCAAAUCAGAUUUCAUAGUCCUAAAAGGUAUACGCUCGUCUAAGUCAUUGAAGCAUGUCAACACAUUCAUAAUACAAUGCAAUCUGUUUUUUGCAAAUAUUAUACCGAAAUUCCACUCCAUGUGACACGGAUCUAUGGCCUAUUUCCAAUAACUUUAAUUAGGGACAGUGUUAAAUAUAGCAAUCAGACCCAAACUAUUAACAUAUAUAACACAAAGCAAAAUAAUUUAUCAAUACAACCAAAUUUAAAUCUAGCUCUCAGAAAUAGGAAGUCUAUUGGCGAUAUAGUUUAUUGAUAGAUUUUGCCAUACUUACAAUUCUUUAAAAAUGUUAUUAUAUACUUAACUAUUAACCCUAAAACUGCUACUCAAUGCAAUUAUCCCUUUAAAAUAAUUAAAUUCUCAAUUCUCAAUCAAAACUUCUGUUUCAAUUUUCCAAUGUAUUAUAUAUCUUAUUUUAUGAACAACCAACGCAAAUACCAGAUUCAACAACUUACAGCUUUGGCUUCUUUGUAUUCGUCCACUGCCUUAUGGGAAGCAUAAGAGAACUUCACCUCUGGUCCCAACUCAGGAACAAUGAAGUGGCUGCAUCAUUGAAUUGGCAACAUUAAUUAUACUGAUCUCAUUACACUGUCAUUGCAUACUAACAAAAGUAAAAGGCUAAGUGGGUUACUUACUAGUUUGUGUCAAACCACUUGGUCAUUUCCAUAGCUGGUACAGAUGCAUUUCCUCUAGCCAUGGAGAAGUAGGUAUCAAACCCAAUCUCACCACCAGUCCAGUUAUAUCUAGGAGGAACAGCCCCAAGCAAUGCAGUGGUGUCAAGCACCUGAUCAUAGCAUGAAAAAGUGUUGCUGGGAAUGUAUUUGAUCCCUGCAUCAGACAUCUGUUUCCAGAUGGACGACCUCAGAUCUGCAGCCACCUUCUUCAAAUCCUCUGCUGUGCUCUUCCCAUCCCAAAAUGAUUCAAGAGCAAACUUGAGCUCCCUCUUGGGACCCAUACGAGGAUAUCCAACGAUGUGAGAUGCCAUUGUUCUGCUCAAGAGAUCGCGGACGUAACGAAAUUCAAUUAGAUCCUCUCAACACUACUCUUAUCUCAAAUCCCAAAUCCAAUAGUCAACAAGUAACGGAAACAGCUAACACCAUGUUAAAUUAAAAACGCAAUACGAAAUUCAAGCCAGUGAAGAAGACUUAAGAACAAAGGGUUUGUAACACAUGCAGCAAAGAUCCAAUGAGUAAAGUUCACAUAAGCUAACAAUUCAGACCCAGAUAGAUCUAAUACUUAAAAUAGAAAACAACCCAUUAAAAUACAUCAGAUCUAGGAACACAAGUCUUCCAAGAAAACAAAAAUCCCACCAGAUCUACACGACAAUACUGUAAACACAAAAAACAGAGGAAGGAAGUAAAAUUCCGAACAAUCCUUAAGCAGCAGCAAUUAGAAGAUGAAAUCCAAAAUGGGUUCAGGGCAAAGUAUAAAAAAGAGUUCAUAACACAGUGGAUCUGAAUCCCAAAUUACAGGAAUGCCAGCAUACAUUGACAAAAAAAAAAAAAAAGAAAAAAAAAGUGAAAUUUAGAGAAACAGAGGAAUGGGAAAGCAUGGAAAAAACGGGUAAGGGAAAAGAGAGAAAACGGAGGUAACCUUGAGGAAGUGGAACACCGACAGAGGCUCCCCAAGGAGAAAAGAAAGAAAUGCGAGAGAGAUAAGAGAUAGGGAAAGAGACGAUGAUACUGGGGGAGCCACAAAUAAGAGAGAAGGCGCGAGUUGGAAGAAAUGGGAAUGAAGUUUAUUUAUAGAGAUCAGAGAUGAUGAGGUGGCAGAAGCAGAUCUGGGAUAUCGGAAAGUCACAGCCGGAGAUUGGAUGGUAGCCGGUGACAGACAACCAAAUGUGUAUUUCAUUUUGGUUUAAUUAUUUAUUUUGUUCUAGUGGUACACCGAUCAAUUCUCAUUUCCUAUACUCUAAAUUACUAUACAAUAUUUGACUUUCAACACCAAAUGUAAAUGAACACUUUUUUAAAAUUUGAUGAAUUUGUUCAUAACUCACAAUUAAACCAACAUAUAAUCAGCAAAAACUUUAGACUUAACCAUUACCUACUAAACUAUAAAUGUUAAUUAAAGAAAUGAAAGUAUUGAAAUAUGAGUUUUAAUCCUUCAAUGAUUUAUUAGACAAUAUAUAUAUAUAAUGUGUAAUAAAAAUGAAAAGAAAAAAAGAAAAGAGAGAGAAAGUUUUGAGUAGGAGAAGAUGGAAUGAGACGCGUGAAGUUGGGGGCGUGGGAGAGAGGGAUUUAAGGGAAAAGGCGUAAUGUGGAAGUGAGGAAGUAGUGAGGGAGUGAGGGAGUGAGUGGCCACCACCAUUUCUUUUUCUUUAUUUUGCGUCCGAGACAAAUGCUGUGCUUCUCCCUAAACUUUCACCUCACCAAUCUCAUUCUAAUUCAAAUUAACUCAAACAUUAUUCAUCUUUUAAAUUGAAAUGCUAAUCCAUUCAACUUUUAACAAAUCCUCAUUCAACAUUCAUUUUCAAUCAUCUUUCGACAGAGAAGAAAAAUAUAACAUAUUUAGAAUGGGAUGAAUCAAGAUUAAUCUUGAUCUAAUUUGUGUUUUGAUUUUUUUUUUAUUAUUAUUAUUAUUAUUGUCACUAUUAACGUUAAUAUUUUAUAGAAAAACUGCACAUUUUUAAUUAAUUGAUUGAAAAUCGACAACAAAAGUUAAACGAAAGUUUUUCUUACCUUAGAGGUAAAAAUGUAAUAUUUUAAAUGUUUGGGACCAAAUGGCAUACUCUACACUCAAUAUUAGAGAUGAGCAUAUGGUGGAGGAGUGGGGCUGAGGUGAGUUUCCUAUUCUUGUCCUGACAUCCUUUCUCCCUUUUUCAUUCACCAUUUAAGCAAAGUUUCUUAUCGUUUGACAUUUGUAGGAAACUCCAUUUUAAUCAAUUAACAUAAAGAACUACUAGAAAAGUUUUAAGUUAAACAACUCAAUUUCUCUCUAAACUUUUAAGUUUGGAUUUAAAGAGAAAUUACUCUAAUAUACUUGCAAAAUGGAAUCAUUAAUCGAUAAAAGUAUUCAAAUAUAAUGUAAAUUUGGUUAAUGCACAUUUAAUAUUUUGUUAGAAAUCGGAUGUAGAAAUUAAUUCUUACCAUCUAUUGCUAUAGUAAAUUAAGAUAAAACAAUUAUUAUUAAUCCUUAUCAUAAUUAAUUGUUCUAAAAUGAACUUUAGUAUAUAUAUUUAAAAGUGAAAUUACAAGUUUUUUUCUUCCAAACUUUUGUCAAAUAACAAUUCUUUAUACACUAAAAAAGGCCAAUACUAUUUGCAUCGGGAGAGAAUUAAUAAUAUGUAUCAACUACAAUACAUUUUACUAUUUACGUUACAAUAAGUUAGUAUUUUUCUUUUUUUAAAAAAAAAUGGUUAAAAAUAGAAAACUAUUUACCUUUAAAAGAAAAAUCAAGUAUGGUAGAUUUUAUAUUUUAGCGAUUUUAUUUAUAUAUAUAAAAAAAACAACAACAAUUAAAUAUAACUCAUGCCCUCCUCAUCAUAAAACCUUUUAGAAAAAAGGAAGACAAACAAAAGCUCAAAAAAGAACUCCAAGUAGGAAAAGAUGGCCAAUAUGAGGAGCAAGUGUGUAAAAAAAGAGACGGAUUCGAGUAUUCGUGAAAUGUUGAACAACAACGAAUUUUCAUAGUUAGAGGAAAGAUAGGGGAGAUUCGAAAUAUAUAAACAAAGCUCUCUUCCAUGUCCAAGCAUGGUUGAGGCAUAAUUUUAAUAUGUACAAUGAGUUGUCUCUCAAGUUUUUUUAAAAAAAGAAAGGUUAUAUGGAUGAAUUUAUAAACCCUAAAAUUGGGAAUGCAAGUGAUGUGCACACGCUUGUAGAACGCGUGGCAUGAGAGGAGAUUUUGCCAUUACAUGUUUUGUUGUAUAAAAUAAAUUGGAAUUUUUUUUUUUUUGUAAGACUUUUUAUUUACUUAUUUAUUUAUUUGCAAAAAUCAAUAUAAAAAAAGAAUGUCAUAUUCAGAAAAUUAGGAAAGCAAAGGAAAUUAGAAAAAGAAAUAAAGGAAAGCAAACGCAUUUGGUGGUUGAAAUUGAUUGGGGGAUUGGUGGUGGAUGUGACUCUAAACAACUCUUUUAUAUAUCUACCAGUUGGUUGCAGAUCUAUCUCUUCUUCUUUUUUUUUUCUCAAUUACCAAUUUUAUGAGUUAAUUAAAACACUUUCACAACUCUAUACUUAUUUAGAAGGAUUUAUUAAACACCAAAUUAAAAAUUCAAACACUUUUGAGAAAUAAGAUUGAGGAUAACAAUGCAAUCGCAUGAGUUGGUAGAACAAGUGUCAUCGUCUUGAUUAACUCCUUAUUGCCACUUUGUAGAUAUGAAUUUGUCUUUUCAUCUUCUUCUAAGUCAUUUUCUUAAUGUAAACAAAUUUAUUUUUAGCACACAUGCAUCAUGAAAUAACUUAGGUUUCGUUUUAUAACUAUUAUUAUAUUUUACAUAGUUUUGUGAAGUUAGAUAUGUUUUAGUUUUAAUUUGUAUUUUAAAUUUGUUUAUUUUCAAAGGUGAUGGAAUAUUUUAAACUUUACUAAACAAAAGAAAAAAGGUUAAGAAUGUUUAAUUUCCAACCAAACCUACCAAUCCUUACCCAAACUAGGUUGAUUAAUGUUAUAAAAUACUGAUACAAAAGUUAUAAUUAAUAUGGUAUUGUAAUAUAAUAGAUUUUUUAAUAGAAUUAAUUAGUAUUGUACACAAGCUAGAAAUGUCCUUACAAUGAAAAUUAGAAAAUGGGUCUCUUUUCUAUUGAAUAUUUAUAUUCCUUAUAUAUGUGUAUAGUCUUUUCUUAUUCUUAUUAGAAAUAUUGCAUUGAUGUAAGGUGUAAGUUGAAGCAGUAGAGAUGUAGGUCUUGGUUAAUUAAUGAACUAAAACUCAUAUUAAACCAAUAAAAUGAAAACAACAAUCAUUUACUCUGAUUGUGUAAUAGUUUAAUUAAAAAAUGACAUUUGAAUAAGAGACAAUAUUGAUAUUAUUGAUUCCAUCUAUGACUUAUAUAAGGUAGCAUAGAAAUUGAACUUUCAAUUUUGUGGUUUUGUUAGUUAAAUUUUAAAAUUUAACUUUAUGAUUAUACAAUAAAAUUUAUGGUAUUGUAUAAGACACUAAAUAUUAAGAUCUUUAAAUCGAGUGAUUUUCACUAUUAUAAUAAUUCUAUUCCAAGGAUGGUUUAAGAGAUUGUGUUUGUAUAUAUAUAUACUUUUGCUCAUGCACACCAUAGCUAUGCAAAUUAAAAACACUUAAAUUAUUAUUUUUUGGAUUACUAAGCACCUUAGGUCAUAAUUGGUGUAAUCAAAGUAAGUAUUUUAUUAAUGGGUGAAUUUGGAUGAUAGCAUUUACCUAGAAUUAUAAAUUUAUGGUUCUUACAUAUUAACUUUAAUAGUUAACCAAAUAGUAAAGGACAACAAUAAAUGCAACAAAUUAAUUGACGGACUUAAUUACAUACUUUGAGGCAGAUUUCAUCACACGAUGAUUAACAUUAACACAUAUGGAUUAGCUUUUGGGCUAAACGUAAUCUUAAUUUAUUAAUGAUGUUAAAAUUUAAUGGGACAUUCUCAUUAUAAUAAAUUCAUGAAAUGCACAAACAAAAAAGCCAAAAUAUUUAAUUUAUUGUUUUCACAAUAGAAGUAAAAUUGUUUUUAUUAACUAAUAAUUCAAAUAUUUCUUUUAUAGUUUAAUUGUUUUCUAAUAACUUCUUUUUUUUUUAAUAUCCAAACUCCACAUUUUAAAAAAACAACAAAAGGAAAAAGAGAUUAAAAACAAAAAACAAAAAUAAUAUAUAUAUAUAUAUAUAUAUGUUUAUACAAUUCGUACAUUGUACAGAGAGCAAAGCGUUGAGAUAAUCGUACUCUGUUUCACCAUUUUUCUUUACAAACCCAAUUCAAAUUUUGUUCCUCUCUCUUAAACUCGAAAUCUUCGAGCAUUACAACACAAACAAAAAACAAGAAAAGAUCAUAAACCGAAUUCCACUAACAAUUAAAAAUUGAAAUUGAAAUUAGGGCCAAAUCAAAUCAACACAAACCCUAGAUUCCUUGAGAAACUCAUCCAUUACAUUCUCAUCGGCACAGAUCCGGGUCUUGUAAUUAUUGGCGUAACAGCAGUCGGAUCUGGGCAACACCGAGUUCCCAUGGGCAGAAGAAGAAGAAGAAGAAGAGGGCAUGGUCGUUGGUGGAGAAGGGAGAGUGAGGGAGUAGUCGGGAUUGGUGUCGUGGUGACGGAGGAGUUGGGAGAGGAGGAGGAGAAGAGAAGCCAUGGAUGAUGAUGGGAGGGAAGUGAAGGAAAUUAGUUGGGAGGGGGAUUGAAUGAAUUGAAAAGAGUAGGGAGAUUUGUUAUUAAUAAUGAAGGGAAUUGAAUGAAUGGCAUUUAUGGGCUCUCUUCCCACCGUUUGUAAGAUUUUCCAAUGGGUAAUUUAAUUACAAUGAGUCCGUCUUUCCACUGUUUAAUGUUUAGUGUUCUUAGUUUUCUCCGCCGGUAUUCUUUGUUUUCUUUCACAACAAAUGAAUCCAACGCUUAACAAAACCAACGCCAAAAAUCAGUGGGUCUCCCUCUCUAUGUGUAAGAUUUGAAGUAUAAGAAAGAAGAAGAUGCCUAAACUGCUCUCAAACAUCACUAAUAACGCAUCACACUUCACACUUUCACUUGUGCUGUUUUUCUUUCUUUUUAUGCUCUUCUUAAUACUAACUUUAUUUAUUGUUUCUCACUUAAAGUCAUUUUCUUUCACUCAUAUAUUUUAACUUGCAUUUGGGUCAUUUUUUUAUUUUCUUCAAUCCUAGUUUUUCUCUCUCUUUUUUAUGGAGAGUGGUGAAUGCAUAUGAAAAAAAGACAAGGUUCAAAUUUAAAUUGAAACUUUAGUCUUUAUAGUUUUAUAAAUUAUAAUUUAAUUAGUGCGAUUAUAUAUGAAAUUUUGUAAACAAAUCUUAAAACCCUCCUAUCCACUAUUUAAAUUGAAGUUUAGCCUUUAUAGUUUUAUAAAUUUUGUAAACAAGGUUACACUUAUGAUGUGUAUACAAUCUUUGUACACAAUUAUGUACAAAGUAUAAAAGAUCUUGGUAUACAAUUGUGAACCAAGAUUGUUAAUAGAUUGUAUACUUGAUCGCUUUGCUAUUAGUAUGUGAUCGUGUACCGAUUCAAGAUCUUGUACCAAACCUAAAAAAUCUUGGUACACAAUCGUGAACCAAGAUCAUUUAGGUUUUAAACACGAUCGUUUAGUUCGUACUACGCGAUCAUAUACCAAUAUGUGAUACACACAUGUAUGAUCGGUGUUGAUACUACCUACACGAUUGUGUAUCAUUGCCUAUACGGUCAUGUGUCAUUUCUUAAAUGAUUACAUAUCAUGAUCAUUUAGAAGAAGAAUUACGUGUGCGUGUGUGACUGAUUAAUCGCGUGUUGACUAGAGCAUUUUUGGUAUUUCGCAUCAUGAGCUUGUGGACUUUUUCCGAUUUUGAAAUUGCCACUUUGUUAUACUUUUUUGAAGAGUUCUUUUAUUUAUUCAUUUGUUUGUUUUGAUUUGUUCAUCUAAUUGAUUUGGUAAGACUUGUGUAAUUUUUUUAAGAAUUGAUUUGGUAAGAGUAAUAUGAUUUUUUUACUCUCCUUCUCUUUGUUUCUUUCUUCAUGUUCUUAUUUAUCUUAUUUUCUCUAAUACUAUUAAUAUUUAAUUCUUCUUAUUAAUUUGACAUUUGUAAGUUUUAAGUGACAAAUUUAAGUUAAGUCUUUUCUUAACCUUUCUAAUUGUAUACAUUUCACCCUAUACCAAAUUUGGUUCCUUUUUUGUUUUUAUAUUUCGAUUACUUUACAUAUCAACUUUUUACAUUUUUUUUAAGUGAAAGGAUUGCCAAAUUAAAAAAAGAAUAAAAAAAUAAAAGAAUUCAAAUUUCAAAUGUACAAAAUAUAUGAGAAUUUAAUAUAUAAGAAAGUUAUACAACAACAAUUUAAUAUCUCAAAUUCCAAAUUAGAGUUUGGUUUAUUUGAAUGCCAAGUUUUCCCACCUACUCUUUCUUAAAUUAUAAGAAAGAAAAAAAGGAUUAAAGUUAUAGAAAGAUGAACUUGAAUAAAUAUUUGUAAUAAUAUGUGACGUUGGGUAUUGAGGAUUAAAAAUUGGUGAAGAACCAACUCCAAACCUCUUUAAAUUUCUAACACAAAAAUCCCAAUCUUGACUUUGUAAUACCAUCCUUCUCAUAUCAAAUAAUAAUAACAAUAAAUUAUUGGUUUUUCCAAACAAGACAAACACAAAUGGAUUACUUACAAAUAUAUUUUCAAAUAUAGCAAAUAAACCAAAAUAAUAAUCUAUUUAAAAAAUAUAACAAAAUUUCAUAUUCUAGUUUUAAUCUAUUUGUUGUUAUUCAAAAUAUUUUUUCAUAAUAAUAAUACAUAAAUAAAUAUUAGGAACAGAGAGAGAGAGAGGAAUAUAGUAUCUAGAAAAGUUUAAUUCCACAGCAUAGUAUAAAAUACAAAUCCAAGGAAAAAGGAGAAUUUGUGUUUGCACAAUGUUUUCUAUAUUUUAAGUUGUACCAUCUCUUUUUACAUUCAUCUCAACCACACAAUACAAUAAUAAAAGAAGUUUACAAUAUUUGAAAAAAAAAAAACAAGAAUUUGUCACAUCACAAGUGAUAGGAUGAUUACUUAGCAAAAUAGGAUGCAUAACAAUGUCUCUCUUUAUCUGUCACUAAAAAUCCUCCAUUUCUAGCAAACAUUUGGUAAUGUUUGUAUGAGUUGAAUUAUUGGGUUGUGUAAAAAAAAAAAAAGAAACCUAAAUUCUCAAAUCAUCACUAUCAAUAAAAACAAAAAAGGAUUAAAUUAAAAAAGAAAAUCCCACAAAGCUUCAUCCUUGUUUGUAAUGUGUAUCUUAUUAAACUAAAAAAACAAGGAAAGAGAGGGGUAAUAGAACAAGUCUCCCAUUGUUUUUCACAUCCCCACUUGUCGAUCCCUUACUCCUCUCUCGCCGGCCUUUCUCUGCUUUUAAACACUCUCUUUCUCAAACCCCCUGUUUCUCCCCCCAAAAAUAAUGGAUCGUCUCAUCACCCUCGAACCCUCCAACCUCAUUCCCAUCCGAAUCGACCCCCCCCACAAAUGCUCCGGCGACCUCACCCUCCGGAACGUCAUGUACACCAUGCCUGUCGCCUUCCGACUCCAGCCUCUCAUCAAAUCCCGCUACACUUUCAAGCCCCAAUCCGGAAUCAUUCCUCCACUCUCUACUUUAACAGUCGAAAUCCUUUACCAUCUUCCACACGGCGUCAGUCUCCCCGACUCCUACCCUUAUUCCGAUGACUCUUUUCUCCUCCACAGCGUCGUCGUCCCCGGCGCCGCUAUCAAAGACUCUUCCUCAAGCUUCGACUCUGUUCCUUCCGAUUGGUUCACUACCAGAAAGAAACAGGUGUUUAUCGACAGUGGGAUUAAAGUCAUGUUCGUGGGGUCGGCUGUGUUGGCGAGAUUAGUGGCGGAUGGGGCUAUGGAUGAGAUUAGAGAGGUGUUGGAGAGGAGUGAUCCGAGUUGGAGGGCGGUGGACUCUGUGGAUGAAAAGGGGAGGACUCUUCUUCACUUGGCGAUCGGGCAGGGGAGAGCGGAUUUGGUGCAGUUGCUGUUGGAGUUCAAUCCGGAUGUGGGGAAAGUGGGGGAGAGUGGGAUGACGGCGGUGGAGGCAGCGGCGGGGGCUGGGCAGGCGUUGAUUGUGGAGUUGUUAUUGGCGAGGAAGGCGAGUACAGAGCGGGGGGAAGGAUCUGUUUUUGGAGCGAUUCAUUUGGCAGCGGCGGGAGGGCAUGUGGAAGUGUUGAGGCUGCUAUUGGUGAAAGGAGCUUGUGUUGAUGCUCUGUCAAAGAGUGGAGAUACGGCACUGCAUCUGGCCGUUCAAGAGCGCCGCCGUGAUUGUGCUCGGUUGCUUCUCGCCAAUGGCUCUAAACCUGAUGUUCGUAGUGCUGAACAAGGUUACACUUUCUCACUUUUCACUCUAUUUUUUACAUCUAACUAUUUUUUCUUCUCUCUUUUAUUUUUUUUAAAAAAGGUUAAAUUGUUAAAAUAUAUAUAUAUAUAUGAAUUUUUUUAGUAUUUAUUUCAAUAUUAAUUGUGGUCAUUAUUUAUAAAUGGUUCAAAAUUGUUGUAAGUAAUGUUUGUUUGUUUGUUUUUUUUAUAAAAAAGUUCACAACCUUAUUUAAAUAUUGAAUGCUAAGAAAAUUGAAAUUAGAGACAAGAUAUUUAAUUUAAGCUUGGGAAGCUAUCUUAAACUAAUGCAAUUAAUUAAUCCAUAUGGUUACAAAACUUUCUUUAUCAAACCAUUUUUUAGUUGUUUAAUUCUCCGUGGUUUCUAUUUAAUUAAUCAUUAGUCUUAGGAAGUGUCAAUUACAAAUUUAAAUUUAUAAUUAUCCAUCCAUUAACGAGUUGACUAAGGGUAGACUAAAAAACAAAGCAUUGUUGGGCAAAAAUGACAUUUCAAUUGAUUAUUUGUUUGAUAAUUAUUUAGUUUUUAAAAUUUAUUUGUGUGUUCCAUUUUUCACCAUUUUUUAAAUGAAAAGGUUAAAUUUUGCAAUUUAAGUACAAAAAUCUGUAGUUAAUGUGAAAAGCAAAUAUUCCUUUGUAACUAAAAUGGUGGUUCUUAUUUACAACACAGGAGAUACGGCGCUGCACAUGGCCGCAAGAAUCGGUGAUGAGCAAAUCGUUAAGCUUUUAAUUCAAAAAGGAGCCAACAAAGACAUCCGAAACUGGGUUGGAAAGCGUCCAUACGACGUUGCAUUUGACCACUCCCACACCCGCCUCUUCGACGUCCUCCGCCUUGCCGACAAGCUUGCCACUGCAGCACGCAAGGGCGACGUUCGCUCAAUUCAACUCCUCGUCGACAGUGGUGCUGCUAUCAAUAGUCGCGAUCAAAACGGCUGGACAGCACUCCACAGAGCUGCCUUCAAGGGCCACACCGACGCCUCAAGAGCCCUCAUCGAUAUUGGUAUAGAUGUCAAUGCUAAGGACGACGACGGCUAUACUGCACUUCACUGUGCUGUUGAGGCUGCUCAUGAUAACGUUGUCCAAGUACUCGUCGAGAGAGGCGCCGACGUUGAGGCGGUGACGAAUAAAGGGUUGAGUGCAAUGCAAAUUGCUCAAUCAAUGCAGUAUACAAGGACUAUGAGGAUUUUGAUGCACAGUGGUGUGAGUAAAGAUCACAUCGACGUGCCACCGACGCGAACGACGUCGUGGCAGGGGUUGGCGAAGAAGAAACAACAGAGUAAAGGAAGAGGGAGAAUCAAGAGUUUGAGGAGUACGGACUUUGAUAAAUCAGUAGCACUGUCAGUGGUGUGAGAAAAUUUGUAAAGAAUUUGGAGGGAACAUGAUCACUAUAUUUAAUUAGUGUUUUAUAUAUAAAUGUGGGUGUGUAUUUUUUGUAUGUACGGGAAUGAGAAUGUGAUGAGAUGAAUUAUAUGUAUAUGUAUAUUUUCCAUCACUUGUUUGUUUAAAGUUGAAGCAACUUUUAUAAUAAUUAUUGGAAUUUUGUAAUUAAUUCAAACUUAAAUGGGAAGAAGUUUCUGAAUAUUGAUGUCUAAUUUUAAAAAUAUUGUAAACAUUAACAAAUAAUUUGACAAAUUUAUGAUUGUUUUCUAAAAAUAGAAUAUAAGAAUAGAUGAAAAGUAUAAUUGUUAAGAACUAGGGGCGGCCUUGGUUUUUCAAUAUAUAUAGUAGAGGUCAAUUUUUAAUGUUGUCACAAACUUCUUUGGGAUUCUCACACCACCCUUCAUCUCUUCCUAUCAAAUCAAUCCACCUUUUUAAAUUUUUUUUUUUAUUAUUCAUUAUAUAUAUACAUUUGGACAAAUAUAAAAAUUAUUUCAGUUAAUUUCGUUAUAAACCAAUCUUCUUUCUCACCAUGCAAAUAAUUGAUAAAUAAGUUAGCCUCCAUUUAAUUUAAUCACUAUUUUGUUUCUCGUUUUUACGUGAAAAUUUCUAUGCCCACUCGUAGUUGUUAUAUAUAAAAAAAAAGUUAAUAAAUAAUUGGAAGAAAAUGAUUAAAUAUAAGUUUAGGAAAUAUAAUGUUUUAAAUUUAUGAAUAUUAUUUAACAUUGAAAUGAAAUUUAUUUUAAGAGUGAUAAAUAGUCAACGGGAGCCAUGUGAUAGGUUUUUUCAAAAUGCCAACUUCACUUUACUUUACUUUUAUCUACAAUUAUGUUACAUAUAUUAAUUAGUAUCAUUAUUUAUCAUAGGGGUGUUGAUUUUUUAAUGGUACAUAUAAUUUUUAAAAAGUGAUGAUAUUGGGAUGGUUGACUUAGAAAAUGAUUAGUUUGGCAAGAUGAGUGAUGAGAUUGAUCCUGUAAGAUGUGUAGUCCAUAAAUAUGAUCACACACCUUGACACAAAGAAUAAUAAUUAAGUAGUCAUAUAAGCUCAAAAUUAUUUACAAACUUGAAAGAAGAAGAAGAAUAUGGCAGGAAUAAUGAAGAAGAUCCAGGAAACAGUGCAGAGCCAUAAGAAGCAACACGAUGGGGAGAAUGGAGCUCAUGAAGGAGUUGGGAUUGUGGAGAAGAUGAAAGAGAAGAUCCAUGGUUACAAAGAGAAAAACAAAGAGAAGAAGAAGCAAAGGAAGGAGAGGAAGGAGAAAAAAGAAAAAGAGAAGAAGGAGAAAAAAGCCAAACAAAAAGCAGAAGAAGCAGAAGAAGAAGAAGAUGGGGGUGAAAGCAGCGAUGGCGAUAGUGACGACAGUGGUGGCGGGAGCGACUAAUAAGUACUGUGUGUCUUAGCGUUUCGUCCUUUCUUCUUCUUCUCUUUUUCGAUUCCUUUUUAGCUUUCUAUUAGAAUAAUAUUGCAUGAUUAAAUAUGGAUCGGAGUUGAAAUUCAAACUUAUUUCUUUUGUGUUUCUUCAAAUUUGAAUGUGUCACAUUUUAUCAUACAACAACACCACACAAGAUCUUAGAUGGUCAUUAAUAUCUACAUGGAUGUUGUCCUUCAUCCAUGGUGCUCCUUCGACUUCUCGUGCGUCUCUUGUUUUUCUUCUUCCUCCUCUUUUUUUCUCUUUAAAAGUUGAAACAAAAUUUAGUUUUAUAAUAUAUAUAUAUAUAUAUGAAUCCAAAUGUAUUAAAAGAAAACUAUCAAAAGUUUACCGUAUCUAAUGCAACCUAAUUUCUGUGCAAAAUUCAUCUCAACAAUCAAAAUCUUUAUAUAUUUUAAAUGCUAUCAAAUUUUUUGAUCUACAAUGUGUGUAGGAGUGUUUUUCCAUUGAUCAAGAUUUUUAUCUUAAAUGAUGCUAACUCAAGUCAACCACGAUUAAAUUGCCGUAAAAAUGUUGUAUUAAGAAAAUAUUUAAACUUUAAAGUAAGUACACAUUACAUUAUUGAUAAAUUUCAUAUUCAAAACUAAAAGUUUAAAUUAGCAUAGUUUAACUAUGCCAUAGAAUUUGUGCUAUCGACUUAAAUGUGAGAAUUUCAAUUCUUCUUUGAUCUUCUAGUGUUAAAUAAAAUUUAAAACUAAAAAGAUUUAUAAAUACUCGACCAAAAUCUAGUAUUUGCCUCUCAAAGAAUACACAACCAUAAAUACACAUUUUGCAAAAAUAAAAAAAUGCAAAUAUAUACACAAUAAGGAUUGAAAUUUAAAAAAAACUAUGAUUGUUUUCAAAUAUAAUAAAAGAAAUAAAAAAUUUAUAUGAUAUAAUAAAAUUUUAUAUUUUAACGGUUUUAUCAUUUAAAACAAUUUUUCAAGUUCGAAAAAUAAAAUUAAAACAACGAGUAAAGAAUACAUUUUCGAAAAAGGAAACAUACAAUAGGUAAAGAAAUAAAUAAGAAACAAAGAAAAGGAAAAUGAUAGAUUAAAAAAACUACAAUUUUUUUUGUGGAGUUUCUCAAAUUUGAACCAGUUUUACGACUAUAUUUUCAAAUCUAAAAACAAGUUAUGAAAGUAUUUUUCAACAAAUUUGUUUCUUGAAAAUUGAAAAUAAAUAGAAAAGCAUGAAAAGAAAAAGGACUAUUCUAUUUUUAAAAUAUUAUUUAAAACUAUUUCUCUUAUAUCAACUUAGUCGUGGAGACCCACAAUUUUAGGUUUUGAAAUAUAGAGUUGCAAUCAUUUAAACUCUAAAUUAAUAAUGGAAGCAAUUGAAAUCUUUAGCUUUUGUAAAUAUAUCAAUCCAUGCCCUUUUUCAAAUAAAUUGUGAUGAGUACAUCAAUUUAGAUCCUUUAUACAUCAAAUCAUCCCUUCAAAUCUUAAAAUUGACCUUUUUUUUCCAUUUGUACUUAGUGCAAAAGUCAUAUUUGUACUAUGGAUUUUUUUUUUCUUUUCGUUUUAUAAAAUAUAGUAAAAUGUUUCAAACUUGUUAAAGUUAAUUUAAUGCUAUUAGUUUAAUUUUUGUUUGCUAUCUAUAAUCAUUUCCCCAUCCCUUUUAGUAUUCAACAAACAUAAUAGCAAAUUUCUUUUGGUACCCAAGCAUUUCACAUAAUAAAUAGAACACAAGAGUGAUUUUUCUUUGGUCCUCUAACCUUCAUUUUCAAUAUGUUUAGGAGACAGCUGUUUCAUAUAUGGCAGAUAUUUCAAAAUUUAAAGCUUCCAAAUAAAACUAAAUCUAAGGUUGUUUACUUCUUUUGGUACCCAGUAUUGAACCAACCCAUGUCACAAUGGAUCGUUGGGAAUCUACAAACUCACUCCAGAUUUUAUAUCAACAUUCAGAAUUUUCAUGGUGAAACUGUUUUGAAUUUUGAUAUCCUUUUUUUAGAGUCCCAACAAAUGACCUAUUAGUACUUGGAAGCAAUUUUUAUGCAUUUCUGUUGUUUCUCCAACUAAAGUGAGUUUCCCGUAAUUGAUGUCUCCGAUCUUCUUCCCUAAUUAAAAGUAAAAUGUUGGAUUUCCAGUCCGAAUAAUAAUAAUUAAAAAAAACCACCAUAGAGAUGUUAUGAACAUUAGUAAAGAUCAUAUAAAAUCUCUUAAUCUUUAUUAUACAUCACACAUACAGUACAUAACGUAGUCUUAGAUUAAAAACAAAAAGAAACAAAGAUAGAGAAACAGAGAUCGGAAACAGAGGGAUGAUUAAUUAAACCAAAAGGGAGUGAGAUUAUUCUUGAACACACCAGCACGCGAUCGGAACACAAUCUACCUCUUAAUAAUGAUUCCGAGAUCUGACCCAUCAAUCGCUAUCGCUAUCGCUGCUGCUAUCUCCACCUUCGUGUUUGUGGCCGUGCUCACCCUUCUUCUUCUUCUCCUUCUUCUUCUUCUCCCCUUUCUCCUCAUGAUGAUCACCCCCAUGGAUCUUAUCCUUGAUCUUGUCCAUUAUCCCUUCCUUGUGCGCCCCUUCUCCAUGGUGCUCCUCGUGCUUCUUGUGUUCAUCGUGAUGCUCACCCUUGUGCUCGCCCUUGUGAGCGUCGUGGUGCUCUCCCUUGUGAUCGCCUCCAAUGUGGAGCUUCUCGCCGAUUUUCUCAAUGAAUCCAGACAUGUUUUGAUGAUGAAUUUGGAAUGGGGUUUUGAAGAGGAUGCGUGUUUGUGGAAAAUGGGGAAGGAAAGAAGGGGAAUUUAUAGAUGGCGAGGGAGGAGGAAAGACGAAUUGAAACGAAUAAAUUCAGUUUAUCCACAAUGUAUCCGUUGAUUUUGAUUGACGUUAUCUUAUUGCUUUAAUAAUUGCGUUUUUUUUAUAUAUUAUUAUUAUCCUUUUUUUCUGAUUCGUUUACGCGGUAACGCCACGUGUCACACGCUCUUCACCACGUCUUUGUUUUUUCCCUUUCACUUUCUAUUUAAUUCUAUUUUUUUGCUUUCAAUCAUACUAAAAAUAAUAAUUAGAUAUCUAAUCAGAAAAGUUUGGAGAAUUUGUUAGAAUAAAUUGUGCCAUUUCUACAGGUUAGGUUCAAGAUUUUGAAUGGGUUUGCGUUCCACCAAGUAAAUAUGAAUAUUAAUUGUAAAGGAAACUAAGAAAUUGAAUCUGAGAUUUUUUUAAUCAAAGAAAUUUACUGUGUUGGAUUGAGAAAAUUUUAAGUGUAUAUCAUAGUGUGUAUAAGAUAUGAAGUAAACUAAGUAUUUAUAGACUUAUUAGGUACUUUUAUUAUAUUUUUUCUUUUUAUGUUUAAGUGAUUUAUUUGACAUUUUUUUAAAUUUUGAAUUAAUGGGUGUUUUUCUAAAGCAUUAAAGCAUUCACUCAGAUGAAAUCUACCAAAAUUAAUUCUGUGUAACUUUUCAUUUAAUAUAAUGGACCCAUGAUGCCAUAACUCAAUUAAUGUUUAAAAUAAUAAUAAAAUAAACGUGUGAAAUUAAAUGAAAAAAUAUUGUUUAAAAUGAAUUUGAUUUAGUGGUAUUUGUACGACGUUUGUUUUUAUUGUUAUCGAUAAAAUCUUACUUUGAUCUAUAUUGAUGAAUAUAUUUUUUAAAAAAAUCAUGAAAAAACUAUUAAAAAAAACGUUUUAACUCUAAAUAAAUCAAAAUACUUCAUUUUGAAGAAAAAUUUAAGUACUUACUAUUGAUAUUAUAUUUACAUUAGUAUGUUUAAGAGUUAUGUCCUUUAAUGCAUCUAAAUCAUGUCAAUAUCUACUACUUAAGUAUACAUCAUUAUAGCUUUAUGAAAACUAUAUCCGUUCUCCACUUUUGAAUUUUCUCAACUUAGUCCACUUAUUCGUUUUCUAAUGAAAACAUCAAAUAAUGUAUGACAAAAUUUCGAUGUUUCGUUUUAACUACGAAGAGAUAACAUUUCUCUUUUCAUUAUAUAACUCUCGACUAUAUUGGUUGGUGUUUGAAAAUUUAAUAUCUUUUAGUUGAAAAAUAAUUAUAUAUAUAUAGAUGUACUCAUUCAUCGAAUAUGAAAUUUGAUGUAUAGAGAUCCGAGUUUAGAAAAAAAUUACAAUAUUAUUAUUUAGUAUUGUUUCGAGUCACGAUAUAUAUAUAUUAUAUAUAUUUAUUUUAUAAACAUCCUUUGAAAUAUUAAUGUAAAUAUAAAAUAGAAGUCAUGGAUAGGCGUGCAGAUAUGAAAUAAAAUGAAAUAAUUAUUUACUAAUCCAACUUGUAAUAACAUAAUAAAUAGCAAUAAUAAUACAUAUGAAUCAAAAUUAAUUUACAUGUUGACAUUAAUUCGGUUAUAUAAAGAAAAGGUAAACCUAACAAUUUGAAACUAUGGAAAAUAAGAUGUUGAACUAGAAGAAUCCUAAAGUAAUGCUCACAUGUUGAAUUGAAGACUAUACAAUUACAUUAUUUCAUCAUCAUAGUGAACCACUAUAAGAUAGGAGAUUGAACCUCUCACAUUUAAAAUAGAAGAACAUAUCAAUUAUUAUUGAACCAAGUUCACUUUACAUUUAUAAGAAGUAGUAUGUAUUAAAAUUUUGUUUAAACUGAAUUGUAAUUAAAAUGAAAAUCCUAUCAUAAAAUUAUAUGGCGUGAAUAGGUUAUUUUGUUUAGUUUUACCUAUUUUUUUCACAUAUUCAAUAAUCAAACUAUCACAAAAGUGUGGGUCUAUAAAAAGAUAAUAGUGAAAAUGGAAGAUUAGUAGUUUUAAUUGAAUUUAAUACACAAAAGAGGAGAAAUAGGUAAUUAAGAAAAGUAAAUAUCAAUAUACUAAAAAGUAAAAGAAAUAUGGGCAAUGGAUUGUUUAUUCAAGCGGGAUUAAGAGAAGCCACUCAUGGGAUGCCACGUGUGAAAGAUCCAUUGCCGACAUUUUGGUGUUAUAUUUGUAGAGGUCUCCGCGUUGGCCGACAUUUCAAUCAAAAAAGUGGUCGGCAGAUAAAUACCACGUGUCGUUCAUCUAAGCAUCCACGUGAAGUUAUUCUUUUUUAUUUUUUGAUUUUUUGAUUUUUUGAUUUUUGUCGUGUAGUGGAAAAUGUGGGAUUUGAGUCCAAAUUUUGAUGCAUGACUUUAUGUAAUAUCUAAACUCAUAUGUGGUUAUAAUUGAUUUAGCCAUAAAUUAAGCCUUUCAAUUUGCACCAUCUAACCCAACUUUAAUUUACAUACUAAAUCUAAUAAAUCAUCUCUCCUUAUUUCAAUCUCAAUUCCCUUUAAUUGCCUCUAUUCUUUCUUUACCUAUAUUUGUUCAUCCUAAUUAAGGAAUUCUCUUAUGUAAGGUAACAAAUAAAAAAAGCAAUAAUCUAAAUCUAAUCAUUCCAUCAUAUAUUAUUUUAGUUUAAGAAUAAAAUAGUAAAAUAGUAAAAAAACUAUAGCAAAUAAUAGGGAGUUUGAAAUAAUAUUUGUAGUAGCUAAUUGAGAGUUUUAAAAUAGUAUUUAUUGUAACUAAAGAUUGUCAGUAUAGUUUUAUAUAAUCCUCGUCCCAAAUGACAUGUAACAUGUGAUUGAAGUAUAAUUAUACACAUUUUUUAAUUUUUUAAUUUUUGAAUAAGUAUUCAUUGAACGUGAUCUCAUCGAUAUUUUAAUUUGGUCGAAAUUUCCAUAGAAGAAAGAAUAUACGAUUAUAAACUUAAUCAAAUCAUUAAAAAAAUAUAGAGUACUAUCUCCAUGAAAAUUCAUGGAUAUCAAUGAUUACACCCACCAAAAGAAGUAUCUAUCUUUUUAUAAAGAGUGUUGUAUUCGUCAGAGUUGAGGUAUCCCGAGUUGUGUUACAAACAGUUUAAUAACACAGAAGAAAAAAAAGCAUAGAUAAAUAUUUAUUCAUGUAAUAAUUGAUCUCCAGAUAUGUGGAAAAAUGAAAGGCAGAUUGAGUUUUUAUGUUUUUGUUGUUUCGUAGUAUUUUUCUUUAAAACGUUAAGAGAAAAUCAAAUAUUGAGUAAAAAGAGGAAAGUAUUGUUUAAGAAUUUAUAUUUUGUUUUUCGUCAAGAGUAUAUAGUGAUAGAAAUGAGAAAAAAGAGAAUUAAAAGGAGGAAAAUUCUUCACGUGAUGAGCAUCGAAUUCCUGGUCCAUGAUAUAUUCUUCAACAUAUAGCCCUUUUACCCUCUCAUAAUUCACUCUUUCUUCAAACUCAAGAUUUCCAAUCUAAACCCUUUUGAUGACUUUAAGUAGUGCUGUGAUUUAUGCACUUACAAUGAUCGUCUUCUUUAUCUCGUAAACAUAGGGUUUUGGUUUUUCUUUUAACAAUAGGGUUUAGUUGGUCAAAUGAGGUUUUGUGUUCAAGUCCAUGCGGUGCGAUACUAUAUUAUUCCCUCUCCAAUUAAAAUUGAUUCACAUGUCGUGUGUCUUCUCACGUAUCGACAUAAUUUAACUUGCUUAAUGAAUAUUAAUUGAGAGAGCAAAUAACAAUGCAAGAAGUUAAACACAUAACUGCGUUUGGACCAUAUGUUGCUCUAACCAUUUUAAAUUGUUGAUUGAUUUAAAAACUUAAGUUAGAAUUAUGUGAAACUUAAACGAAUUUAAUCCUAUAUCAUCUAAACCAUACCGUGCAUUUAUUCAAAAGUGGUAAAGUAUAAAAAAGAGGUAGGGAUUUGAUGUUAGUCAUGCAUAUAUAUAACUUUAUUUUGCUUAGUUUUCACGAUAUUGCUUGAGGCUUCCUCUUCAAUCUUUUAGUCUCUCCCUCAUUAAUAUGUGUAUAUAUAUAUAUAUAUAGACACAACCAAACUUUUUUCUUUUCUUUUCCCUUCUUUUCUUUCAUUAUUAGUACUCUUUUCUUCUUUUGCUUUUUCCUUCUGCUUCUUCUUCUUUCUUUCUCUUCACUUUAUUAUGCUUAUAUGAAUAAAGAAAAAUUAGUGUAUGUGAUUUUUGUUUUUACAACAAAUUAUCUCAAUAUUUAAAUGAAUGAGUUUGACAAUUUUACUCUAGAUUUCUUUUAGGGCGUUUCUGUGUUUGGGUCGUUGGAAUGCUUUUAAUUAGGAUUGGUUGAAUAUAUGCUUGACCAUUCAAAAGUAAGAUUUAUUAUUAUCAACACAACCAACUUGCACCACACAAGGAGAUUGGAAUUUGCCAACACGGCAAACUGCCAGGAAUUUAGCUACAUGUGACGUCGGAAAGGUUAUCGCAACAUUGUUUUAAUCAUCAACAAUUUGGCCAAGGGAGGAGACCCGUCUAGCAGAGAACAAAUGUCGAUGCCUGCCACAUGGUGUUUGGGAGUAAUGCUCAUAAUACACUGACACAAUUAUAUCAUUGGAAGUUAUAUGUUCAGUCCCCUAAUGCCUCUAUGAAGGUAUCAAGAUCUAUUCUAAAUUGUCGACGCUUUAUUUAAUCGUUGAUAGAAGUUGUUUAUCUCAACAAUUUACUUUUGAUGUGUUUUAUGUAUGAUGACAAAUACGUUUUUCUUUUUUCUUUUUAGUAUUGUGCAAGUGUUCAAAACUUAAGUGAAAGAGUGUGUCAUCUCCCAACUCAGUAUCUUUCAUCAUCAACCUAUUUACCCAAUCCUUUUUCGGAACUUGAAUUUGAAUAUUUGGUUUUUACAAUCUGAAAAUGUCUGUUUGAAUCACUAAAAUCUCGUUUAGUAAUUAUUUUAUAUUUAGUAUUUUUUGUUUCGAUAAUUAAAUUUAUUUUUUCUUUUCUUCUUACAAUGAUUUACAACUUUUGAAUUUUUAAUCAAAUUUAAAAAACAAAAACAACUUUUUAAAAGUUACUUAUUUUAGAUUUCAAAAUUGAGCUUAGUUUUUUUAAAACAACUAGUAAAUAGUAUAUAACAAAUAAUGAAAUUUAGAUGUGGAAGUGAUGUAGAUAGACUUAAUUUUCAAAAAGAAAAAUCGAAAAAAUAAGAUGACUACCAAACGAGUCCACAAUUUUUUAUCAAUGUCAUAACCUAAGGGUUCAUAUAACAAAGUAUCUUGGUAUUGGUGAAUGAGUUAAUUUAACCAUAUAGUAACUAAAUCUCCAUCUUAUUUUGUCAAUAUUGGAGUAACUCCAAAUUUUUGUAAGAUUUUUAGUCAUUCAAAUAAUACAAAUACUAUGUAUGAAAAAAAUCAUUAACUCAAAUCACAUAAAUACUUUAUACUAAUACUUGGGUAUAUGAAUUAUUCUUCCAUACAUCAAUUAUCAUACAGUUUCUUUUCCAUAAAAGUACCAUUUAGAUAAUCCAAAAAUUACACCUAUAUAAGUUUGGAUGUAUUUUGGAAAAUCCAUCGGAGGAUGACACUCUGUUAGGGGGAAGGCCCAUUUGUACAAACCCCAAUUUAUUGGGCUUUUAAAUUUUCAACAUCGGCUCAUUUGAACAAGCCCAUCUUUAACUAUAAUUUGGGCUUUCGUAAAAUAAUAAAUAUUGAUAAAACUAAUUAAGGAAACCCAAAUUUUUUGUUAAAUAAUUGUUUGAUGCUAUAAUUGGAGGAGAUUGUGGUUAAAGCUUAUGUAAUUAAGGUAUUGGUAACAAUUGUUUUAUUAUUUAAUUGGUAAUAUUAUAUUAUCUCUUUACGAGAAAAAAUCAAGGUUGCUAGUGCACUAUUUGAAGCAUAUGUAGUCAACAUAUGUGAUGAUAUGUUCAACUAAUAACCUAAAUUUUCUAUAGCAUAUGACUAAAGUUGGAUGGAUUAUCGUAUCAAUACUAUUAUAUUGAUAUUGUCCAUUUUAUAAUAAUUACAAAUGAUUUGACCUAAACCGUUCAUAUGAAGACAUGUGAGUACCAAGGAUAUCUCUGCAGACACAAAUGUUAUAUCUCUCUUUGCAACUUUAUAAAGCGAGAAGAUAAAAAUUAAUAUUUCACAAGACGACAACCAUAAUCCUAAGACAACCAUAAUAUUUCACCCUAUCAUUAGUUCAAGAGAGACUUGAUUUAUAAUUGAAUCUAAAACGGUUGUUCAUAAAAGUCAAUAGAUCUUUUAAAGAUGCAAUAAUAGUAUUUAUAAUUGCAUAAUAAAGUGUUCAUUGUUAUUGAUCAAUAUAUGUAGACAUACCACAUGAACAUAUCUCUUGAAAAAGAACAAAUAUUGUUAAUCAGCGGGUCGCUAACGAGUGACUUGACUUUUUUGUAUCAAAUGCUAAGGAGUGUCCAAACAAUACAUUGAUGUGUCAAAAUAUUUUAACAAACUUUUAAAAAAUAAAACGCCGUAUUUAAAUAAUAGAAUUCAAAAGGGGUAAAAUAGAGAAUGUAAUUUAGUAUAUUUAGUCCUCUUUUUGUUUCUCUAUGAUUGUUAUUUGUAAAUAUAACUUUUCUCCCUCACUAUCUCUUCAAAUCUCUUGAGGAUAUUUCUUUACUUCCUUUCUAUUAGUUCAUAAAUAUGAAUAUAAUUAAAAGUUUGAAAACAGUACUUUUAAUUUAAAAUGAAAAAUAAAAACAAAAACUAUUCCUAUCACUAAAUGGAAAUAAAAAGUUUAUAAUGAUUUUAGUUUAUCAAAUUCCAAAUUCUAGAAUAUUAUUUUUCUAACAAUUUCUCCUUUUCUUUUUCAAUAAUGUAAAAUGAAUAUUUUAUUUUUUAAAAAUAAUUAUCAAGUAAACUUUUCAUCUUUUUAACCAACCCAUAUUAUACAUCAAUUUUACAAUAUAUAUUUUUAAUUUUGAGUGAAGAAGGUAAAAAAAAAAAGGUAAUUAAGAUAUAUUUAUUUUCCAAAAUAGAAAAAAAAAAAAGGAAAAACAAAAAAGAAGAAUGUGUACGGAUCUAAACUCUAUAAUUCAAACCUUUGCUCAAAUGGUGAACUUUUGAAAAAAGAAAAAGCAACAACAUUUACUUAAAAGGAUCCCCAGAUAUAAAGUUUAGAGUAUGAAGUGAUAAUUGAUUCAAUUAAUACUUUUUGUCCAAAGAAAAUAAAACAAAUUGAUUACUUACUUGUUUAAAUCUCCAUCAUUGAAGACUUGAGAAAGUGUUUUAAAAUUUAUAAUGGAAUUGAAAUAUUUUAUAAUGUAAUAGCAUUUUGAGUUUAAAUCGUAAUAUGAAACUCAUUUCAUUUUGACAGUAUGUAAUUAUUGUGUUAUCAACUCAACACACAUUCCAACGUUUAUCUAAUCUAAUUGUGUUGAUUAAUGGGUAUAUAAGAAUCCUUCCUCUCACUUUUACAAAGCAAAAUUAGAAAAAGAAAAAGGCAAAACUUUUGACCUAUUUUUUUUCUUUUUUUUCUAAGGUUUUAUCAAAGAUAAUGCAAUUACUUUUUGGGCCACUAAUUUAGAGGAGAUUUGAGUCACUUCUCAUUAAAAGUAUGUAUUCUCAUCAUGGAAAUUUUUGGGAAGGGUAACAAACUUUCAUUUAGCUUUUUGUUUCCCUUUUUUCUAUUGCUUCAAGGAAAAAGAAAAAGAAAAAGAAAAAAAAAGAUUAGCUUUUGGAUUUUUUUUCCCUUUUUUUCUUUUAAUCUUUCUUUUUAAUUACUUUUGUUUUCUUUUUCCCUUCCUUUUAAUAAAAACAAUGGGAAAAGGAAAAGGUGAAGUGGCUUUCCUAAUGAUUCUAUAUUUUUUAUGGUGUGUUUCUUUAUGUUAUAAUAUGAAAUUGGUUAAAAUAUGGCUUUUCUCUCCGUUUAGUUUUUAUGUUUUACAAGGAUUAAAAAUGAUAUUUUAACCAAUGAAAUUGAUGUUUUGUACUUAGUUCGACAACUCGAUUUUUAUUAUUUAAAUAUUUUUUAGUUCAUCACGGGAGGUAUAAAUUUGAAUAAGGGGUGAAAUUAACGCAAAUUACUCAUGAACUAAUUAAUAAAUUAAACUAGUAAAAACUUGAGCAAAUAGUCACAUAAUGUUACAAUGCAGCUCAUUAGAGAUUGUUCUCUAUUUUGACCAAAAUCUUUCGAAAAUGAAGUAGUUUUGUGUUGUGUUGGUGUUUCAUUGAAUUGAUGUUAAAUGGCCUUGAUUCUUGUGCUAUCUUCCCAACACCCCCACUUACAAAGGCUACUUGAAAAUUAAAUGAGUGAUAAGAUCUUCACAUCCUUUGCUUGGUUGGCAGCUCUUAUAAAUAUUUAAUGAUCCUUUUCCAAAGGGGACACCCACACCCCCCCUUUUCUUUUCUUUUUUUUUCUUUCUACUUUCUUUUCUAAUAAAUAAAUAAAACACACAGUCACUCUCUCACAAAGUCCUUUUCAUUUCAAUGUAAUGUCCCUUUCUCACAGAUAGUAUUUUAUCUCAAUUCUAUUAUCUCCCUCUCAUUUUCAUUUUUUUUUUUUUAUAUAUUUCUACCCUUUCUAUUUUCCCUUCUUUAUGUUUGCAUCUAAUUUAAAUUACUAUAAUGAUAUUUGCUAUGUUCUAUAAAUUAGAUGUUGAAGUUUUGAAUUGUCAUUCUCGCAGUUGGAUAUGCAUUACAUUUGGUUUUAAAAUAGUUAAAACUACUUUGGUUAUAAAGACUAAAACGGGUAUGGUUUUUAUAUGAAUUUUCUGGCAGAAAAAGGUAUGUUCUGAAAGCUCAAAAAGUUCAAAUAAAAUGCAUACAAAUAUUUUACAAAACUUCAUCAACAAAUAGAAUAAACCUAAAAGUUAUGUAAAACCUAGUUGAAAAUAGAAACCCCCAUCAAAGAUACAUUGCUGUUCUCAGUUAGUGGCAGAGGCAAUGGAAAGAAUAGAAAUGACAGAUACUAAACUGUGGAACAAAAAAACACAUCAUAAACCUUAUGUACCAAAUUUCUUCCGAGCUUUCAGAGAUUUAUAAACAGCUUUUAAGAUUAAAAACAAAAAAUACAUUUUUAUGUGCUCUGAUGGAAAAUCUAUAAAAGAGAAUAAAAGCUUCCAGUUUUUGCUUCCAAAAUUUGAGGAGUAUCCCUAAAAUGGCCUUUGCUAUCUGCAUUAGUUGUUUCUGAAGUUUCAAAAACACUACCUUUCGAAAUGUUUUCCUUUGGAUAUGGAUGAAUUCCAAAUGUGGUCCAUAUAGGACUCCUUGAAGCCUCGCUUGGGUUAUCCACUCGUAACGUCUUUGGAACCACCACGCAUUUCUCUGACUUCUCGUCCUCUGCUAGGCUGUUUGUAUCUCUCAAAUGCUUACCGAGUGUAGGCGAUGAGCUUGUGGGGCAGGUGGAUGUUUGAGAUGCACAGACAUCAGAAGGAACAACGGUUAAAUUCCCAGUACCGGUAGAAGUCCAUACGGGCGUACAACCCCAGCAUGAGGCUGGGACGAAUUGUAAUGGAAGGCUUGGAGUGCAAAACCCUGGAACUGCCAGCACUGUUGCUGGGAGCCAUUGAACUGGUGGAUUGGGAUGACUGCUAGUAUUUGGUACACUUGUGCUAUCUGAGCUUUGGGUCAUUGCUGAUGAAAUUAGGCUGCUUCCGCCCUGAUUCAAUGGAAAAACCAAUUGUGGAACGGGGUAACAAUGAACCGUAUUUGAUGCAGUGAUAUCACUACUAGAGUUGGACAAUCUAACUGCCUCUGGCCUCUCGAUGACACUUUUAGGCAAUUCGUUUCCACGAAUACUAGUAGUUGUCAUGGAAGAUCCGCAUGAGGAUGGUUCUUCAGGACUGUCUCCACAAUAUGCAGACCCAAUCUCAAUGGAUCUCUUCUGAUCUCCAAGACUCAGCACAGUCUCCAUCGAUUCACAAAGUGGUGCUUCGGGUCCAAACUUUAGGACAGUACUACUUCCAUUGGAAGGCCUCAAAGCAGAAGGAGACUCGAUAUUCGAGAGUAGAUGAUGGUGAUUUGUUGCAUCCGAAGUUUCCAAGCGGGUUGUAGCAACUCCCUCGGAGGAUACUAUUAUCUGUCGGUAUUGAGAUGCCAACUGCUUGUUUCUUCGUCGUCCAGCACCAAUAGGAACGUUUCUCAUCGUCCCACCAGCAGUCCAAUAUCUUUGGCAGUUCUUGCAGAAAUGCCUAGGUUGAUUGACAUUAUAGUUGUUGAAGUAACAAAAUUUUGUUUCCAAACUAUUACAUCUAGGACAAGGAAUGAUUUUGUCUGGCUUCUUAAAUGCUCUUUCUUGAUCCGUGCCAUUACCAUCCUCCUGCUCUUCUUUCAAAUGUAGUUCUGAUUCUCCCUUGUUUGACGUCACGUUCGAAGCUUGGUUUUCUUCAUUAUCCCCUACCAAUACCGAAGACCUCUCUGAUGGGCAAGAGUCUUCUGCACCUGAGACUGACUGCUCAGCUUUUUUCAAAUUGUUGCAAGCAUCCUGAAAACAGUAUUCAACAAAUUGACACUUAACAACAGUCAGAAAAGAGAAGCACACAAUCGACAUACGUCGAAAAAAAAGCCAAGAAGUGUAUCAAAAUCUACAAGGAGAUGGGAUUUUACAAAACAAGACCUCAGAGCCCUUCCCAAAUAAGGUAAAAAUUACAUUCAUUCAAGAAAGAUAGUACAAUAUGCAACACGAAUGAAAAGAUACAAGGAAACAUGAUAUAAAUGAACAGAACACUUCCAUUAAGGAAUCAAUCUUCAUCAAACAUUUUCAGCAGCUCCAGAUAUUCACAAGAGAACUUCAUUUAACCCUCAAUGGAUCCACUACAAACUGAACCAAAAAAACCAUCUGAAUUCCACAUUCAAAUUUGGCUAAAAACAGUUCUCCUAAUGAACUUCUUCCAAAACCACAAAGUUGGGAAAGGAACAGUAAAGUCAACCAAGGCCACAAAAACAUUACAAGAACAAAUCUAAACAAAAUCAUAUAUUGAAGUUAAAACCCAAUAAGGGCCCCAACCCAAAUGCUUAGAGAACCCAAAAAAACAUAUACACACAAUGAAAAGAAGAGUUGAAAUGAGAGUAGAAGAGGGGGAAAGAGACAACUCAAUAGAAGAAGAAGAAGAAGAAAAAGAAGAAGAAGAAGAAGAAGACCAAGAAUAUGAAUAAGACAGUUAAAUGAGCAUUUCAAUAAUCUUUUCCAUGUCCCACAAACACACACACACACACACACACACACAGUAAAGGCAUUUUUCAGAUUAAACCCAGAAAGCAAGAAGCCAUCAAAAUAAAGAGAGAAUGAAGGAAAGGGGAGGAAAUAAAAUAGGUACCGGAUUAUGAAGAGGGGCGGCGGAAAUCUGGGAUUCCGGCAAAGGGAUGGUCCGACCGAAGAGUUUAAUGGCGAGAUCCUUGAAAUGUGGGGGGGAAAUGACAUCCUGUGUAGUAGAACUGGACAUUUUGAAAAAUGGGUUGUUAAUGGAGAGUAGUUUGAUUGAGAAAGUGGGAAGGUUUGGAGGUGAAAAUCAAUGGAAGAAGACCCAUUCAAAUAUAGAGAGAGGUUAUGAAGGAGGGAGAAGGAGAAGGAGAAGAAGAAGAAGAAGAAGAA